UGCCACCUCUUCUAUGCUUUUUCCUUCUUCUUCAUUCAAAAACCCCUCUACGGCCCAUAACUCAACAAGUGCAUUUACAUAAAUCCGUUCAUCCUCUGCGAAAAUUGCAAAAUACAGAAAACACGGUUUUAGGUGAGAAGGCAAGUGAUGGUAACUCAAAGCCAACACUCUCAUGCAUUUUGCUUCAAGAUCUCUGCUUACCACCGAACUUACAUUCUCCGCAACAUUUUGCCACUCAUCCAAUGUUUUACUGAUUUUGGAGAGAAGUCCAGCAAUCAAAGUAAUUUCUAGAGGUAACCCUCCACAUUUUAAUGCAAUUUGUUUCCCAAUAUUUUCAAAUUCAGGAGAAUAAGAACCUUCUUUUUCAAAGAUCUUUUUGUGUAGUAAAUUCCAACUUUCGUCAAAAUUCAUGAGGCGCAUNNNNNNNNNNNNNNNNNNNNNNNNNNNNNNNNNNNNNNNNNNNNNNNNNNNNNNNNNNNNNNNNNNNNNNNNNNNNNNNNNNNNNNNNNNNNNNNNNNNNNNNNNNNNNNNNNNNNNNNNNNNNNNNNNNNNNNNNNNNNNNNNNNNNNNNNNNNNNNNNNNNNNNNNNNNNNNNNNNNNNNNNNNNNNNNNNNNNNNNNNNNNNNNNNNNNNNNNNNNNNNNNNNNNNNNNNNNNNNNNNNNNNNNNNNNNNNNNNNNNNNNNNNNNNNNNNNNNNNNNNNNNNNNNNNNNNNNNNNNNNNNNNNNNNNNNNNNNNNNNNNNNNNCAUGUUCAGGUAAACUGACAAGUGAGCUAGUUUGUGGUUUUAGAUCUUUCAUGCUGUCCGAUGCUGCCAUCCACUGUUUCACGGUGGAAUCAAUGUAUUCUAGUGCUUGUUCCAAGACGAAAAAAAUCUCCCACAUAGCCCUGCUUCUUUCCUCCAAAUUCUGUGCUAAAAAAACAUUUCUUGAUUCCGAGUCAACCAUAUCUUCUGUUGUGUAUGCUACCUCUGCGAUUUCAACUUCCAAGAUUGUUAACCCCUCAUGAUCGCCCAUUAUAUUGCAGGAUUUCUCCAGAAUAGCUCUCAAAGAUUUGAGCUUUUCAUAAAACGGUUGCAAAUCACAUCCAGUAAGUUCCAUUGAUUGAUGUAUGGUUCUCAUAAGGGAAGUAACAGCAGCAUAAGCCAUAUAUCCAAAAAAUAGAAAUAUCUCUCAGUAUGAAAAUGGACAAAUUGCCACAAGUUAUGUAAUUUUUCAGUUUUUAAGAAAACAGAAAAUGCAAAGUUCUUUCUUUUACUAGCUAUUUCCAUCACAUUUCCAGCUAGGUCCACCAACCUUAUCAUCAUGUAGACAAAAGCAGAGACCAAAGUUAAAAAAAAGUAGAAAAAUUUGUGAUCAUUCAUUAUUAGACCGUACACAUAUCUAUUCAUGAAUAUAAGUAUGCUUCUUACAUACAAGAGAUUGAUGAUUUUAAUUACAUUGAAAGCAACUUAGUAGAAUUUUCCAAAUCAAAGAGAGAAAUAUUAAGAUCCAAGUAGGAAUUUCUCUAUUCCUAGUUCGAUUCAAUUAACCAAGCAUAAAUAUCUCUUAAUAUACAUGAGAAGUUUAGACUCUAAAAGUCAAAUCAACAAAAUAUUUAUGGGCUAACACAUGAAAAACUAUUGAGAAAAUCGCCUAAUUUCUGUAAAUUGGCCCUUAAAUCUCCAAAAUGAACUCUAAAAAUUGUCAGACUGUACGUAUUGCUCCCCAACUCCCUACUGAGGGUUCUGUAAAGAUUUCGAUUAGAAUUCGUCCGUAAGUCAUAUCACCAAUAUAUUAAUGACUAACACACACGAAAAACUGAGAAAAUUGUCUAAUUUCUUGAAAUUGGCCCCUAAAUGCCUAAAAUGGACUCUAAAAGUUGUGAGACUGUACGUACUGCUCCCCCGACUCCCUACAGAGGGUUUCGUAAAUGUGUAGCAAAGAAAUCGUCUGGAAGUCAUAUCACUAUAAUAUUAAUGGGCUAACACACACAAACCACUGAGAAAGUCGCGUAUUCCUGUAAAUUGGCCCCUAAAUGCCCAAAAUGAACUCUAAAAUUGUGAGACUAUGUACUGCUCCACUAACUCCCUAUGGAGGGUUCCGUAAAGAUUUCACAAAGAAAUUAUUCGGAAGACAUAUCACCAAAAUAUUUAUGGGCUAAUACAUUUUUAUUUGUCCAUUUGAUUUGACAUAUCUUUCAAGUACUUUGAUCUGGUUAUACUUUUUUUUUAUUGCUAAAAAUAAAUAUCCACUUUUACUUGUUCAUUCUACAAAACAAAGACAAUAUUUUAUUGCUUGAUUCAGAUAUAAAAUUUGAGUAGGCUAAUUUACAAACCAUCUGUAGUCAUCCUGCCCCUAUGCUAUAACAUUUGAAAGAAAGAGGUCAUCAUCAUCAUAUUCAUCAUCGUUGUCAUCUUCAUCAUCAUCUUCAUCAUCGUUGUCAUCUUCAUCAUCAUCUUCAUCUUCUUCAUCAUUAUCAUCAUCAUCAUCAUGAUCGUCAUCGUCACUUGUUUCCUCACUGUUGAAAAAGCCAGCAACAAAAGAUGAAAAAUGAAAUGUUAUGCAAGUAUAACAAGUUACACAAUUACUAUAUUGGAAGGAUUUAAAUCAUAUACAAUGACAACGUAUGAACUUUUACACUAUAGGUGCCAUUUAACUGCUUAUUAAAGCAAUUUAUAAUUAUUUUAUUACUAGUUCUGGACACGUGCUUUGCAUGUGUAUAUUACACGUUUAGUCACGAUUGUAAGAGGGUGUACACCAGGAUCAUUCGAAGAGCAAAGUCGUGUGAGCCUUACAGAUAUUCUUGACGUACUCCUAUUAAAAUCUGUAUCAUAUUCGUAACUUUUUGAAUGAGGUUCACCUUUUUCCUCAUUGUACUUUGUACAUGGAUGUUGUCCAUCACAAUAUCCCCUUUUUCAAAUUUCAUAGCUGAACUACUAGGUGUACGAGUUCCUACCAGAACUACUACCAACUAUUUAUCAAAACACACAUCAACUAUAUAUGAGUUGUUCCCUUUUACUAGUGGUGACAAAUAGGUGGAUUUGGACGGGACUGAAAAUGGAUUGAGCAACAUGGUCGUAACUCACUUAAUCUCUUAAAGCCAGAAAACUUUAAAGAGUUAAUUGAAAUAAACUUAAUGACUAUCCUACUUGAAGUAUCACCGUCGUUCAGGUAAGAAAAAGGAAGUAUAUCAAGGAAGAAGAUGUCUUACAAAGCCUGAUGGAUAUGGACCUCGAUAGAACCUCCAUAGUUGUCUUGAAUGUCCUGUUGAAUCUGCUUUGCGGAAUUCCCAACAGAUUCUGGGCAGUUUCUUAUAUAGAUUAGAGCAAGUGUGGUUAUAUCUGCAAAAUCUUGAGGGAUUGAGUCCAAAAACCUGCAACUAUCAAGAAAUAGUCGUUCAAGGCACGGAAAGUGAUCACAACUAGCUCUCCAGUACUGAAUAUGUGAUCUUUUAAGUAACAAGAACUUCAAAAAAGGAAACCCUUCCUCAGCUACUUCCCACUCCCUGCCUCUGCAUACACCCUGUGUUAGUUCAAGAAGUUCAAGUUUGGGCAAUUUUCCGACAACAAUGCUUAAAUCCUUCCAUGACAAGAAGAAAUUUCCUGUAAAAGUUAAAUUCUUAAGGUUUCGUGGAAAAGCAUCUGGAGGAGGUAAGAUCAAAGAUGGAACAACUUCUACAACAAGUGGAUUCCUUGUCUGAAAACACAUUCUCCUCUCCAAAAAGUAAGCAUUAUUUUGAGGAGGAAGACAAAAUGCUAGUUCCUCGAGAUGAUCUAAGUAGCGAAAAUCAUAGAGGUCUUUGUGACUAUGGAAGUCUUGUGGGAUGCCACGUACUUGCAACUCCUUUAAAUUGGGAAAUAGUCUAAAGAAAGAUGCAGUACAAUAGCUAGGAUUCCAUCCAAACAGAGAAUGUAAAUUUUUCAUAACCAAACUUUUCUCUGUAAGCUCAUGAUAUCGCAAGUAAUUCCGAUCCAAAUGAAGGUGCCUCAACUGUGGCAUUGUCAAAAUAUCUGAUGGUAAUAUCAAAGCAUGUUUACGAAGAUUAAUGACGAGUGGAAGGUAAAGUACCAAACUUUGCAGAUAGCAUAGGUUUGAUAUGGAUGUAGGAAUGUCUACUCUUGAUGAGAGAACAUCUUCUUCGGAUCCUAGAUAUUGCUCAACGUUAGGAUAAAUACGCAAAGCUAGGUGUCUUAAGUGAAUCAAAUAAAGUAUUUCACGGGGAAAAGUUAGACAGAUAUUAUCAGCAAGAUCUAGAACUCUUACUAGCUUGAACGGCAAGUACUCCCUCAUGCAACAUCGGAAUCUACCAAAUAAGAUAACAGAAUGAGCUUCACUGUUAAGGCACCUAACAUACUCUUUCUUAUUAUGGAUGCUGAUUCGACUUCGACUCUUAGACAAACACUGCAUGGAUUUCACAUAUGAAUUUUGAUCAUUCUUUCUUCUGAGAACAUUCACAAAAUUCAUGUUACGAGCUUCCAUCAAACAGAGUUCACGAGUCAUAUCAUGAAUUCCACAACACUUAAUUUUUCCAUCAAAAGUAGUACUUUUAAUGGAAAUUAAACUUCUAUCAAUAAGAUCUUGUAGGUACUUUUCUGCCACUUCUUCUAUGCUUUUCAUCUCUUCUACCUUCAAAAAUCCCUCUGUUUCCCACAAUAUCAUAAGUUUAUUGACAAAAAUCAGUUUAUCCUCUGGGAAGAUUGCGAAAUAUAAAAAGCAUGGUUUUAGGUGGUGAGGCAAGUAAUGGUAACUCAUUGCCAACACCCUCAUGCAUUGGACACCAACAUCUGUGCUUACUGCUGAACUUACAUUUUCAGCAACACUUUGCCACUCACUCAAUGCUUUGUCAAUUUUAGUGAGAAGUCCCGCGAUCACAACAAUUGCUAGAGGCAAUCCUCCGCAUUUCAAUGCAAUUUGCUUUCCAAGUUGUUCAUAUUCAGGGGAGAAAGAGUCUUUCGUAAAGACUUUUUCAUAUAAUAAAUUCCAACUUUCGUCAAAAUUCAUGAGGCGCAUGUGAUGAGGAAGCUUACCUGAGCUAGCAUAUUCAGCCACUUCCACAUUCCGAGUAGUCAAGAGUAUUCGGCUUCCAUUAUGAAAGUCUGGGAAACAUAUUUGUAUAUCAUCCCAAGCUUUUGUAGUCCAUAUGUCAUCAAUGACUACCAAAUAUCUCUUGCCUUUUAGAAGCUUUUGCAGUCGAUCUGCUAGUUGCCCGUCAUGUAGCUGAUCAUAAGGUUUAUCACUUAUACAAGAAAGAAGGUCUAGGAAAACAUUUCUCACACAAUACUCUUGUGAAACAGUAGCUUUUGCACGUAUGUCAAAGCGAUACAUCAUGCAUGGAUCGUUGUAGAGUUUUGUUGCCAAAGUUGUCUUGCCAAUGCCUCCCAUACCUACAAUUGAUACAACUUCUAGUUCUCUUUCUCCUCUAGCAAGUUGAUCCAGCAUCAUCUUGAAUUCAUUUUCAUAGCCAACCAUUAUAACCUCGGACCGCUCAACAGCAAGUUCAGGUAUCUUGGAUAGACAGAAAUUUUGUGCUUUGAAAUCUUUAAUGUUGUUGUACCAGUCCCAUAUUGCCAACCACUGCAUCAUGAAGGAAUCAAUACAUUCUACCUCUUGUUCCAAGGAACAACAGAGUUCCCAGAAAGCUUUGCUUCGUGUAAUUACAGUUUCUGCAGAAGAAACUUUUCUUGAUUUCGAAUCAACCAUGUCUUCUGCUUUGAAUGCUACCUCCGUGAUUUCAACUUCCAAGGUUGUUAACCCCUCAUGAUCGCCCGUUAUAUUGCAGGAUUUCUCUAGAAUAGCUCUCAAAGAUUCGAGCUUUUCAUAAAACGGUUGCAAAUCACAUCCAUUAAGUUCCAUUGAUUGGUGUAUGGUUCUCAUAAGGGAAGUAACAGCAGCAUAAGCCAUAUAUCCAAAAAAUAGGAAUCUCUCACUCUCAGUAUGAAAAUGGACAAAUUAAUUGCCACAAGUUAUGUAAUCUUUCUUUUACUAACUAUUUCCAUCACAUUUCUAGCUAGGUCCACUAACAGGAUAAAGUAGAAAGAUGUGAGGUCACUAACCUUAUCAUCAUGAAGACAAAAGAAGAGACCAAAGUUAAAAAAAAAAAAAGACGAAAAAGUAGAAAAAAUUGUGAUCAUUCAUUAUUAGACCCUACACUAAUCUCUUCAGAAAAAUAAAAUAAAAUUUUAGUUUAAAUAAAGGAAUUCAAGCUGUAUAUUGAUAACGUCCAAUUCAAAUUCAAGUGUAGUACGGUCUAGCAAUAAUAAACUCAACAAAAGUUGGAGUCGAGGAGUACGCUUGUGUCAAGGUGACAGAGAGUGUGCGAAUUUGCUAACAAACAAAAGGUCUUUCUUUUAGCUAGGUCCAUAAUCCAUGUAGUGCUCUAUACUCUCUAGUCUCUAUCAACCAGCUCAAGUUUAAGGGUGUGUUUGGUAUGGAGGAAACAUUUUCUCUAGAAUAGGGAGAGAUUUGUGCAUAAACAAGGAAGAAUCUCUCAGUAUAACAGUGAAUGGGUAUUUUUUUAAGAUUUGCUUCUUUUGUGUAUGACUUUUGUAAGAAACAUUCUGGUAAAAGUUAAAAAAAAUGAUCUUGUGGAAUAGCCACAGUGAAUUCCUUAAUAUUCGAGUAGAAAAAGCCAGAGAGGAUAACAUUGCUAUUUGUACACUUAUCGUGACACGAGUAGUCUCUUAAAUAUUACACCUUUCUACUGAUGUUGCUGAUGCCACUGGAUUUAGCCUUCCGUCUUCCUUUGCAAGGUAGAUCGAGGACUCCCAAGAAAGGAAACACAAGUUACUGGAGUCUGUUCUGGCCUAUACAGUAUGUAUGUACAUAAAAUUUGGAGUAUCUAAAAACCACUGACAAAUGGCUAUACGAAAGAUCAUAUACAAUUAAAUUACAAGCCAUUUGCAAUCAUCCUGCCCCUUUAUGCAGAAUCUUUUCAAAGAAAAUGAAAACGAACAAAACAAACACUCACACAUUUGGCUUCUGAUUUGACAUUUAUUUCAGAGAACUGGCUAGUCGCUGCAGGAAAAAAAAAGACGCAAAAAAUGGAAAAUAAUAUGUUAGAUGUCCCAUAAUUAAGGAACAAGAGAACAUUAUAGCAAGAAUGAGCAUGCAGGUAUAAGAACUUACACAUUAUUGCGGCAAGAAGCAACUUCUUUCUCAAAGUCAUCAUCAUCAUCUUCAUCUGUUGUUACACUAUCGAAAAUGCUAGCUACAAAAGAUGAAAAAUGAAAUGUUACACUUCCCAAAAUCAAGAAUGAGCAUGCAAGUAUAACAAGUUACACAAUAUUGGAAGGAUUCGAAUCAAUCACAAUGACAGCAUCAAGAACUUUUGUUGAAUUGGUGUAAUUUGACUUACUAAAGCUAUUAUCCAGAUUAUUAUCGAGUUUACUAUAAUGAUGAGUUAAAUAUUGUUGUAAAUCAAGGAAGAAGAUGUCUUACUAAAGAUUACGAGUAUGGACCUCGAUAGAGCUUCCAUAGUUGUCUUGAAUGUCCUGUUGAAUUUGCUUGGCGGAAUUCCCAACAGAUUGUUGACAGUAAUGUAUAUCAAUAAGAGCUAGUGUGGUUAUAUCUGCAAAAUCUCGAGGGAUUGAAUCCAAAUACUCGCAAUUUCUAAGAAAAAGUCGUUCAAGGUACGGAAAGUGAUCACUACUAGCUCUCCAGUACCGAAUGUAUAUUUGAUCCAGAAACAAGAACUUCAAGUGAGGAAACCCUUCCUCAACUACUUCCCACUCCUCGCCUAUGACGGCAUUGUGUGAUAGUUUAAGGACCUCGAGUUUGGGUAAUUUACCAACAAUGCUCAAAUCCUUCCAUGCCAAAAGGAAAUCUCCUCUAAAAGUUAAACUCUGGAAAAGAUUAAUUAACAAAAAUUUAUGGUACUAAUUGGGGUAUUAAUUAACAUAUCCUUACUUGAUCACAUAUGUAUUGUUCUGUGUGAAAUUUUCCUCUGACUGAUAGUUGACUAAAUUAUAUUGCAUACGUUCGUGUACAUUUUCUCACUUGGAAGAGUGGAUUUGGACGUAAUUAACUAUCACCAUCGUUUAGGUAGAAAAAAGAAAAUAACUAAUAGUUGAAUGUUUUAAUACAUAGAUGAUCAACUAAUAUGAGAAGAAAAGAGUAGCGUAAAUGUGAGAUUCACUUCUCACCAAGAAUCCUCCUUUCUUAUUAUUUUCCUUUUAGAGGUUAAUAAUUAUUAAGUAUCCCUAGAAUAAUUUAUUGAAAAAGUAGAUUUGAAAGAAAGCAAUUACUCUCUUCUUCCUAUGCGGGACUUCUUGAACAUAACUAAUUUGACAAAAACCACAAUUUUAUUUAUUUUUAGGUGGAAUUAUAUCAAUAAGGAACUAUAUAUGCUUAUGAUAUUAAUCUAAGACCAUUAUUUGUUACUUGAACACAUGGAUUCAUCAUCUGAACAAUUGAAACAAUUAAUACUUGUGUGAACCUUUUUUUAUUUCGAGUGAUGUGUCAUAAUCAUUAGCCAACUAAGACUAGCGUUAAAUUUUUGGUAAGUCUCAAGAAGUGUAAUUAAUACUUAAUAAAAUAAUCUCAUCCUUGAGAUUCAAGAACUUGUUUGGAUUGAAUAGGUUUUUAUCAUCAAGAUCUAGAACAAAGUCUUAAUAUUAGUAAGAGGUAUUUUUGUGUGAAAAGUUUUCUUUGAGGUUCGAGAAAUGGAAUAGAUAUGGACUACAAGUUGAUAUUUCCCAUUGGAAAAUUCACACAAAAAGGAACAAGGAAUUCUCAAUGAAAAAAGCGCUCUCCAAAUCUGUUUAGUAUUUGUCAUGAGGUUCUUAUCAUAAUUGGAUUUUCCUUUUAGGAAAAGGUAAACACAGUCUCCAUAUUUGUCUAGUUCUUUUUCUUGUAGGAAAAAAAUUAUGACUCUAUAAAUAGAUGUUUUGUAACAUCCGACAAUUUGAAAUAGCUAAGAAGAGGCUUGAAAUUUGGAAAUUUUCAAUUUUUGGAAAGGAUUUGAAAAUCUGGAAAAUUUGGCUAAGUAUGGGAAAGGUGAGUUUUUUUGGGCCCAAACUUUGAACAACCAUAAAUUCUAGCUCAGGAUGAGUUAGGUGGAGUUCCGGUUAUGUUUGCAUAGCCCUCGGAACGACCUUUCCAACGCCACUGAGUUUGCUCAAUUCUGAGUUCGUAUGAGCGAGUUAUGGCCAUUGAAAGUUGGGCAGUUGGCAGGGAAUCCGUCCGGAAAAUUAAGGGCAUUUUAGUCUUUUCCCUAGCCAAUUCUUUUGGGAUUAUAUUGUUGUAUAGGGCUGAUCUUUAGAUCAUUUUGUCCCAUUUUAAGAAAUUAAAAUCUAGGGCUUGAGAGUGAAGAAGAGAAGAAGGAGAAGAAGAAGAGAAAAAUCGAGGAGAUCAACAAGUUUCCGACAAGAUCAUCGUGAAUGUUCGUCGGGGGUGAUCCCUAUCAAGGUAUGUGAGCUUUUAGUGUUGGGUGAUACUUUCCCCCACACACCUAGCCCCUUUUAUUUAUUAAGGAAGGAUUGGUUAUGUUGUUAAAGUUGUUAGUUGUUGUGGUUGAAGUUGUUGGAGUUGUUAAAGUUGUUAGUUGUUGUUGUUGGAAUUAUUGUUGGUGGUGGGACAUAAUUGAGUUGUGUUUUUAUGUUGAAAUCUAUUGAAUGUUGAGGGAUUUUAUGUUUCUAAGUGAUUGGGGGCUGGAAUCUUUGAGGUUAGAGGGUUUAGAGUUGGUAACGUGAAGGAGAAAGUCGGGUAGCUUGCGAGGAGCAUGUCUGCGUCGCGGACUUGUUCCUCUGUGAACAAAAAAUCUUCUCCGCGUCGCGGACAGGACGCAGACUCCACUGUUUUCAGAAUUUAUGUUCGAAGAUUUUCUUAGGUUUGGCUGUCCCAAAUCAUUCGCAAAUCAUUCCUAAACAUCAUGAGACCCUUCCAAACACCAAUCAAGUCCUUGAAUCCAUAAUCCAAUUCAAGGUGAGUUAUGAUCAAGUCAAGUGAAGUUAGUUUUCAAGUCAAGUGAAGUUAGAAGUCAAGUGAAGUUAGAGCCAAGCUUAGAAGUUAAGCAAGUCAAAGCAAGUCUUUAAAGCUUUUCAAGAGUCUUCAUUGAACGUUUUGACUUCAUUCUAAGGCUCAAGUUCCAAGUUAAGUAUAGAGUUUCAAGUCAAGCAAAGAGUCUCAAGUUUCAAGUUAAGUAAAGAGUAUCGAGUUUCAAUUUAAGUCAUAAUUUUUCAGUCAAGAGUCAAGAGUUGAGUUCAAUUCUCAAAAGUAAUUAGGGAACUAAGUAUUUCCCAAAGAAGUUUUAUAAGUGUUUUCACAUUUAAGUUGAGAGGAAACGGAGAUUUCCAAAAGAGUUUUGAGAAGUUUGAGCACUAUCUCUUUUAAAAGAAAAGAUGAGUUUUUGAAAAAGAGUUUCUAAAUUAUGAUUAGUAUGACAAAUGGAGUAUGUCAUCAAUGUUUAAACAGUAUGGUCUCUAGAUAUACCAUCAAUGUUUAAGCAGUAUGAAUAUCCCGAGUCAUCAAUGAUCAUAAAAAAAAAAAAUGUGGUUUUGACUUGUUCUAUUUAGAAAGAGUUUUCAAGUGCCUUCGGGCUAAGUUUUGAGUAAUUAUCUCAACUAAAGAAAGAUGUGCUUAAAACACUUAUGAGCUAAAGUAUUUUGGGAGUAGUAUCGAGCACCGAAUUGGGGAAACGAGUUCAUAUUAAACUCAACUCUCCAUAAGAACCAUGUAGCCAAACAUGGGAUUUCUCGGAUCAUACUUUUUAGAUGAUCACGAAAGUUAAGCUAGUGGAUCCAUUAAGCAAAAGUUAAAGUAAGGUCCUAUAUCGAUGGCAAGGUAUAGGAUGGUCCUUGGGCAACGUGAGGUAAAACGUUGUAUCACCACUCAGAUUCAUAGUGGUGGUUUGUCGGUUAGAGAAGCUCCCACAGUAGAAAGAGCAUGGUUCCUCGAGGGUUCUGCUUAGUAUGGAUGGGGGUAUGGGACUUCAUUCAUGCAUUGCACAAGUAGACUUUGAGAGGAAGCAUGGUAUUUUUAUGAUAUUAUAAAUAUGAUUUUUACGUCAUGUUUUAAUAGUUUCAAAAGCUUUAUAUAUAUUGCAUGUGUCUCAUUGCUUUAUAUUAAGUUCAGUUAUUCUUGAGUUGUACAGAGCCAAGGUAAGUUCUCUUUUGUAUCCCUUUUCAAGCUUAAGUUGUUGUUUAGCGGUCCAGCUCGCAUACUCGUACAUUCCAUGUACUGAUGCCAGUUGGCCUGCAUCUUAUGACGAUGCAGACACNNNNNNNNNNNNNNNNNNNNNNNNNNNNNNNNNNNNNNNNNNNNNNNNNNNNNNNNNNNNNNNNNNNNNNNNNNNNNNNNNNNNNNNNNNNNNNNNNNNNNNNNNNCAGUCAGUUAGUUUUGAGUCUCUCAUCUAUGUAUAUAUGUAAAUAUUCUAUUUUGAGACUCGAGUGGCCUUUUUGGCCAGAUGUGUAUCAUUUAAGUUGUUUAUGUCUUUGCAUGGCAUUGAGUUAUUCUGUUGAGUAGGUUUCCGCUGAGUUAAGAAAGCCAGGCCAAGGGUUCGCUUGGGGCCAGCAAUGGUCUCUGAGUGCCGGUCCCGCCCAGGGUGUAGGCUCGGGGCGUGACAUGUUUAUUCAUUCUAGCUUGGUAGCAUUCAUAAUGCAAUCCUAGGGGGCUUUGAGAGUUUUGUGUAUUGUGUGAAGCUAGAGGAAGAAUGUAUGAGACACAAGUAUUACUUUAACACUUGUGUGAACCUCUUUGUAUUCAGAGUGAAUUGUGUGAGGUUAUUCUUCUCUAGAUUUUAUAGUGAUUUUUUCAUCUCCUCUUGUGGAUGUAGAUCGGUUGACCGAACCACGAUAAAUGUUUGUGUCUUUUGAUAUAUUUCUUGUUUGUCUUAUUACUCAUCGUCUUUCAAGGUUUGCUUUGCUAGCUUUUGCAUGACACCUAAUUAUUUCAGUCCCAACAAGUGACAUCAGAGUCAGGUUCAAUGGUUUAAUGAUUCAAUGGUCGAACCAUGUUAAAAAUAAGUGUUCAUCUUGACGGGUUUAGUUCUAGCCGUAACAUAUUUGACAGUAAUGAAGAUUUUUGUUGGAGAAAUAUUUUCAAAGAUGUUUUCUGUGUUGAUAUAUAUAUAUAUAUAUAUAUAUAUAGAUUUUGCAGAGGAGAUGCAAGGUAUUGAAGAUUAUGUGAAGAAGGUGGAUCAAAUUUAUUUUGUCAGAAAUUUAGGCCAAUGGAGAUAUUUGUUUAGUAUUUGUCAUGAAUUUCUUAUCAUAAUUGGGUUUUUUCUUUUAGAAAAAGGAAACCACAAAGUUUCCAUAUUUGGCUAGUUCUUUUUCUUGUAGGAAAAUGUUUGACUCUAAAAUUAUAUGUGUAUUCCUUCUAGCCUAAUAGCAUUUACAAUGUAGUCCUAAGGGGCAUAGAGAGUUUUGUGUAUUGCGUGUAGCUAGGGGGAGAAUGUGUGAGACACAAGUGUUACUUUAACACUUGUGUAAACCUCUUUGUUUUUCCAUUGAAUUGUGUAAGGUUAUUCCUCUCAAUAUUUUGUACUUUCUUUUAUAUAGUGAAUUGCUCAUAUCCUCUUUUGGAUGUAGGUCGGUUGUCCGAACUACGUUGAAUAUUUAUGUCUUUUGGUAUAUUUUUCGUUUGUAUUAUUACUCAUGGUCUUUCAAAAUUUGCUUUGCUAGCUUUUGCCUGAUACCUAAUAAUUUCAGUCCCAACAAAACCAAACGUGAAAGUUGUUUUCCAGCAGACAACUUUUCUAGUAGCUCUACUCUCGACUUGGAUAAUUUAACCAAAAAGGUACGCUUUCGGCCAUUCUACAUGCUGCCUAUGUAGAGACAUGUUUAUCUAAAGUGGAUUCUCUUUUUUGUAGUAGGUAUCAAACCUGUUAUGCCCAUUGACUAAGAAGCUAGGGGUGGACACAACAACUACAUGGACCUCUUUCUUACAUCGGCCAUCACUAUUAAUCGUCUUUGUUAUCACAAUGACCACCACUAUUACCGUCAUCAAACAUCUCUGUCCUCACAAUUACCAUUAUUAUCAACCACUACUAUAUAUCAAACAUUUGCUAUAUUUAUGUUUUUUAUUGACAUAAACAAUGGGUUAACAUGAUAUAAUUUAUUAGUAGUUUUAUAUAUUUUUCUUAUAAUAAAGGAAACAAUCACUUAUACAUUCUUUGAGAUCAUUUAGUUUAAAAUCAGGAGUGGAAUCAUAACUAGGGUUAUAGCUUAGCAUCAAUUCACCUUCUUAAUUAAUGGGAUAAUUUAAUUAGCUAAAUUUGAAUGAAAAGAAGAAGAAAUUGAUUAAUUUAAUUCGUUUACGUUCCAAUGGGGUGUGCAAUAUCCAUAAAUUUGUCAUGUCGUUAUUAGGUGUUCAUGAGAUGCACAUAUUCCAAGCAAAAGUACCUAUUUGAUCACUAGAUGAGUUUAAGUAUUCAAUUUACAAAUUCUGCCAAAUUUGAGGGACUAUCUAGGUAUUAUUUAGAUAAAAUUAUUUGUAUAGUCCACUCUAAACAUACUUAUAAUUAAGCAAGUAACAUAUACUAUAUAAAGAAGCUUCUAGAGAUAAUUAAAGUUAACUCUAUAUAAUUAGAGUUGCAAUAACAAAUACGUCAAAACAUUAAAGUGUUUCACCAAUAAAGUCAUUUUUUUAAUGUCCAAAACUAAUCCAAUGGAAGCUCUAUUAUGUGGAACACCAGAAGAAGUUUCAGUAUUGUUGGUACAUCAUGAAGUAGAAUUUCUUACUAAUCAGACUGUUAAAUUGUUAGAGGCUUAUAAAUACAAAGGUGACAUUCUAGAAUUUUUUUAACUUUUUUGUUUCUUUGAUAUAAUAACUAAAUGCCGUGUGACAUUUUUUUUUAUAUAUAGAGAGAGAUUGAAAUGAUAUGCUUUUUGUUAUCUCAUUUAUGAUUUUAGCAUCGUCCAUUUUUAAAUUUCAUUUAUCUUGUAAAUCUUGAACUUUUCUUUUUCCUUGUUAUCAUAGCACUUUUUAAUUUUUACAAAUUUAUCUAUCCUCGAAGAAAAAUAAUUCUACAUUAGUGAUGGAUGCACAAGAAAUUAGGAUGACGGGAGGGAAGAGAAAGAGCACGAAAAAGACAUGAUAAGAGAUGAUCUGUCUAUCAUUAUUACUUGAGAUAAUAUUUUUUUGUCUUUUAUUGGAUGUAUAAAAAAAAAUGAGGAGAUCUAAUUUUCAUUAAAAAAACAUUUCCCUUUCUAUUUUUUGUUUUUGUUUUUCGUUGGACGUAGACAAAAAAUUGGCAACUCCUUUCUUAUACUUUGUUAGAUCAUCUAAUUACAUAUCUAUGAAAUAAAAUUACCUCAAAACAUUUUAUCCUAUUAUCUUUUGCUUUAAUAUUUAUUUGUUUUUGACAAGCCAUAAAUAAAUUGGAAUAGUUUUUAGAAAUAUAUUCUUUAGGAUCUUCUCUAGUUUUUAGUAAUCCAAUUAACGAAAAAAAAAAACUAAUAUAUACUUUUUAUGUAACCAAUCUAGUUAAGAUUGCACUCAUCAUUUAUAAUAUAAGUUGAUUAAUAUGUGUUAUUUUAAAAAUUAAAGUGCAGAAAUAUAACAUGAAAAUUCACAGUUGAAUUUGAAUAACAAACAAACAUAUCCAAAUGAUACCUUUGUGUACAAUAUUUUUUUUUUCAUAAUUUUCACUGAUUUCAAAUUGCACGGGUAUAUGUAGUUACGGAAGUUAUGGCUCCUGCGGCAAUGUCAAUGCUUUUCAAAGAAAAGAAAAAAAUUGAUGCAAUGAUAAUCAAGGUCAUUUCACCGGAUUCACAUUGCUUUGAGCUCCUGGCACAAGCUGUAACCUUGAACAUCAUCGUAGUAAGUAAGUAUUUAUAAUUCUAUCUUCCACUUAUUAUUAUAGACGGUAAAGUAAGUUUUUUUAAUUAACUAUUGCAUAAUGUAUAUAAUAUUAUUCAAUUUUAAUUGCUAUCUUCUUGAUAUAAUUAUGCAGUUGUCUAUGAUGAACUCAAUGAAUUCUUAGUGAAGAAAGCUUUGGACAAUGGAGCUUACAUUUGCUCGAAGAAGCCUCUUGUCGAGCAAACUAUGACAUUCUUGUGGCAAUUUGUAUGGAGGGAGAAAACACAAAGAGGGAAAUCAAUAAAAAGAGUAGAAACAAAGGGAGAUCAUAUUUUUGUUUGAAGUUAUUGGAGUUCUGAGAAAACAAUAGGUCGUGGUUUUUUCCUCCCUUGAGCAAAGAGGUUUCCACGUUAACAUAUGUGUUCUUACUUUAAGCAUUUAGAUUACUUCUUGUUAUCAGUAUAGUCAAGUGGUCAGAACACGAGAAGACAUGUCACUAAACAACAACAUAUAUAGGAAAAAACAAACUCUGCUAAGUGAUCGAUCCGUGUGUGAUAGUUGCCUUCUUAACCUUGAACUAUUGCUUCCUGCUAGAUUAUAUGAACUUAGAUAUGUAUACAAAUUAGUAUUCAAUGAGUUCCCAAACAUUCGUGCAUAAACAAUUUCCCCUGUUGUCGUGCCACCAGGACUUAGCAUAUGUUCUGUAUUUGUAUAAUUUCGAUGAUGAUCAUGAGAUUGCUGGGAUAAUGGAGGCAUAUUAUUAUUGUGUAUUAGACCGUGACUCCUACAUCUCGAACUAGGAGGUCUUUGUGGUAUGACUAUACCAAAAUUCUAUACCAAAAUUCGGGGCCUUAAUUUCAGAUGUUUUUGUAGCUUGACAGCGACCAUAGAGUGGAAUCAAUGUUUUUUGUGAGACUUCAGCUUUGCAAACAGGGCAAUUUGGUUGUUGGUUAUCGAUGUUCUCUGAUGAAAUGGUCUUAAAAUGUAUCCAUUUGUAGAUGCAAGGCCAACAAUAGGAGGUGACCACAUAAUGUAACAACAGGAUCAUGUACAACAUCUAGGCAAAUGUUGCACUCGAAACCUCCAGGUGAAUUUUCUUCAAGUUUAUCAAGAUCAAUUGUCUCCAUUUUUCAAAGGAAAUAUCGCGUUGAUCAAAGGUAGUUUCUGCUAUUUGGUCUUGAAAAAUUUGUUCUAAGGCCAUAUUUGCCUCUUGGUAUUGAAUUAUUUUGGUAAUGGCAAGAUGAAGAAUGGUUAGAAUUCAGGUUUUUAAUACAAUUAGAAGUGAGUAUUUAUAAGGACAAAGAAUAGUAGUUUGCAAACAAUGAUUCUUAAGGUUGUCACUUGUCAACAUCACAUUAUGUUAAAGGGGCAUGGCCAAAAAGAAAAGGCCCUACACAUUAUUAAACAACACUAUAUCAUAUUACUCAACAGUCUUGAUUUAUGGGGUAUUGUUUGAUUUGAUAUAACAUUUAAUAAGAAAAUGAAGACUUUUAAAAUAUGUACUGUAUUAAAGAUAAAAAAUAAAUUUUAAGUUUUUCGAUCCUAGAAAUGAUAUUCUUUUUAUAUUAAGACUAAAACAAAUGUUUUACAUAAAUUAAGAUAGAUGAACUAUCAAACACAUCAUAAUUAAGUGAUUUAAUGAAGUCAAAAAUAAAUAUUAAUGGAUCAUGGUUAAGUGAGAGGAGUUUUGUGCAAACACGUCUUUUAUCUAUCUAUUUGAUUUAAACAAGCAUAAGUUUUAUCAUAUUAGAAAUAUGAUUAGGACCUUAUAUUAGGCCCCAUGAUAGGAAUCUUAAUCUAGAAAAUAACUUUUAGUCAAUAAAAAGUAGCACUAGUUGCGUACAAGGAGCUACCACUUGAUGACCUUCCACACUUCCACAUCCCAUAAGUUCAAUAGUUUUCACACUAUAAGAACUAGAUGUUUUUUUCCGCGUGAAUCAAUAAAAUUUUUAGUUUUAUGUUAUAAAACAUGAUUUUUUUCAUUUUGAUUUUAUUAAACUAAUUCACUAAGAAAAUUCAUAACGAAACAUAAGUUCUCAUUGAAAUACUGGAAAUAGUCACUUGGAAAUUUAUGAGUUUUAGGAAAUUAUGCAUCAAAACUUAGAAAGACGCGGCUCAUAUAGAAAUUUGUUGUUAAAUCAUAAUAUAUACUUUUACAUCUGAAUAUCUUUAUUGAUUUGGUUAAAAUUAUAAUUAAAAAAAUUACAAUACAAUAUAUAUAGAUUCACAUAAAUUUAAUACUGUAAGUUCAAUUAUUAUUCAAUUAUUAUUAUGAUAUAUUAAUCUAAAAUUAUUAUAGAAGCUUCUAAACUCUAAAUUCAGAUCCAACUAAGGAGUGAAUAUACAUAGUGGGGGUCUGGGGGAUGGGAGAAAACAUAUGGACGGUGUGACAAAUAAAUAAAAGAAAUACUCCGUCCAUUCCAUUUGACUUAGUAUUGUUUGACUUAAUACGAUGUAUAAGAGAAAAAAAAGAUUUUAGAAAAUUAUAGGCUAAAACAAUUUUUAUAUAUUUAUAUAAUUGUAAAUCAUUUCAUUAAUUAAGGGUAGAUGGAGAAUUUUAAGUUUAAUUAUUUUCAAUUACAAUAAAAUGACAUUUUUAAAGACGGAUUAUGAGAAUAGAGUGCCACGUAAAAUAAAACGAGAAAAUACUACUCCCUCCUUCCCAUUUUAUAUGUUACCUUUUUACUUUACAUUUACAUUAAGAAAUAAUGUAACUUUACCCUUCUACCCUUAUUUAAUGUUUUCUUAAGUUAACUUUAUAACUCCCUCCGUCCCAUUUUAUAUGUCAUCUCUUUCUAUAAAUAGUUGGACCACAAUACUUGUCAUUUUAUAAAAUUUAUGUAUAAAUUACCAUAUUUUACCUAUUAUAUCCUUGAUAGAGUAGUUAAUUAAUCUUGAAAAUAUAUUCAUCAUUUAUUAUAAAUUGACUUAAGAAAAUAUUAAAUAAGAAUAGAAAGAUAAAAUUACAUCAUUUCUUAAUAAAAGUAUAAAGUAAAAAUGUGACGUAUAAAAUAGAACGGAGGGAGUACUACAAAAGAACGAGUCCGCACAUGCAUUAUACAAGUACUACAUGUGUCUCGAAUUUAGCAGCCUUUUGUCAACUUUUUAUAUUUUGGCUUACUUGGAAGCAAGUCUAUCCUCUCCUAUACAAUCAAUUAGGGUGGCCAUUAAUCAUAUAUUAUUAGGCUAAAGAUAACAUAUUGCUCCCUCCGUUUUUAAUUAUUUAUCCAUUUUUUUAGUUAUUCCUAAUUACUUGUCUAUUUUUACAAAUCAAGAAAGAACAAUUUUUUUUACCUAUUAUACCGUCAAUUUAUUACUUUGAAAAAAGUAGAACUUUUUGAAAAUCUUGAGUUUUUAAUUCAUCCACUUCAUAAUUAAUAUGGAUAAAAUGGUAAACUCACUAUUUCAAUAAUUGUUUUCUUAAUAGGUGUGCCAAUUCAAAAAUGGACAAGUAAUUAGGGAUAGAGAAAGUAUAUCGAAAUAAUAUAAUAAGAUAUUAUGCUAAAGAUAAUUAACAAAACUUUGAACAAUUAUAAAUAAGAUAGCAAAAAAAUCCAUAGUAAAUUAACAUGGUUCAACGAUUAGUGAUGGAAUCUGAAUAUGAUUCAGGAUUUUCACUAUUAAUGAAAUUCAAAAGGAAUAAUACAUAAAUGUGCCCUUUAACUUGACUUCAUUUUAUGUUUAUGUCCUUCAACUUUGGGUAUACACAAAUAUGCACCUAAACUUGUAUAAAGUUGAACAACUAGACACAUGAGUCCUACAUGACACAAUACACAUAAGAUACCACGUAGGAUAAAAAAUGCCAUGUAGGACAUGUGUGUCUAUUUUUUCAACUUUAUACAAAUUUAAAUAUCUACUUGUGCACACCCAAAGUUGAAGGGCAUAAAUGUGAUUUGAAGCCAAGUUAAAGGGUAUAUUUAUGUAUUAUGCCUAUUCAAAAUAUGAAUAAAUAAACAUAUAAAUUAGCUGACUACAAUAAUAGACAGAUAAAAAAUAAUUUUAACUAUAUGUAUAAAUAAUAUAAUUUUUCAUCGAAAGAGGUUCAUCUGAUUCCUCACUACUUUCUCUCAUUCAAAACUAAGCAAUAUGAGACUUUCAUGUCACAUGGAACCCUUUUUUUUUUUUUUGGAAAUCUCAGUAGUUCAGUUAAUUGACUGACUAUCUGAAUUCUCGAUUUCCCAUGUUGUAAUCCUCUACCCCAAUUUUUUUAUUACCUUCCUCACAUAUGUAUAAGACCGAAUCCAAAUAUCUAAGAUGAGAGAAUUUUGGGAGAGCCACCGACUCCAACUACUGCCAUAUAUUAUCCAUAUUAGAUUUGACCAACUAUCCAUCCUACCCUCCUCUACGUUCUUGACAACCCAUUUUUGUCUUAGUCAAGUCUUUUAGUGGCACGUUUUGAUCCUCUUUUCAAUUACUUAGAAAAAGUGAGUUAUUAUUCAGAUACAAAAUACUAUCAUUAUCGCCUAAAAAAUUAGACAUUCAACCCGUAAUCACAAUGAUCCAAUUACAAAAGCUCCGAACCCCCUAGGUCUAGACUGGCUCUGGCCCUAGUUUUAUCUCUUGACCUUCACAUGAGUAAACUCGUUGAUAUAGAGGAUUACAGUAUUGAUUUCUUUAAAAGAAAAAAACCUUAAUUUAAGGUAUGGAGGCCUAGAAAGGAAACACACGUUAUAUAUGGAGCCUGUUCUGGCCUAUACAGUAUAUAUGUACAUAAAAUUUGGAGUAUCUAAAGAACCACUGACAAAUGGCUACGAAAGAUCAUAUACAAUUAAAUUACAAGCCAUUUGCAAUCAUCCUGCCACCUUAAGCAGAAAAAAUGAAAACGAAUAAAACAAACACUCACACAUUUGGCUUCUGAUUUGACAUUUAUUUCAGAGAACUGGCUAGUCCUCAGAACACCUUAACUACUCGCUGCAGAAAAAGAAAAAAAAGACGCAAAAAAUGGAAAAUAAUAUGUUAGAUGUCCCAUAAUUAAGGAACAAGAGAACAUUAUAGCAAGAAUGAGCAUGCAGGUACGUAUAAGAACUUACACAUUAUUGCGGCAAGAAGCAACUUCUUUCUCAAAGUCAUCAUCAUCAUCAUCAUCUUCAUCUGUUGUCACACUAUCGAAAAUGCUUGCAACAAAAGAUGAAAAAUGAAAUGUUACACUUCCCAAAAUCAAGAAUGAACAUGCAAGUAUAACAAGUUACAAAAUAUUGGAAGGAUUCGAAUCAAUCACAAUGACAGCAUCAAGAACUUUUGUUGAAUUGAUGCAAUUUGACUUACUAAAGCUAUUAUCCAGAUUAUUAUCGAGUUUACUAUGAUGAUGAGUUAAAUAUUGUUGUAAAUCAAGGAAGAAGAUGUCUUACAAAAGAUUCACGAGUAUGGACCUCGAUAGAGCUUCCAUAGUUGUCUUGAAUGUCCUGUUGAAUUUGCUUGGCGGAAUUCCCAACAGAUUGUUUACAGUCACUUAUAUCAAUAAGAGCUAGUGUGGUUAUAUCUGCAAAAUCUCGAGGGAUUGAAUCCAAAGAAUAGCAAUCUUUAAGAAAAAGUCGUUCAAGGUACGGAAAGUGAUCACUACUAGCUCUCCAGUACCGAAUGUAUACUCUAUCCAGAAACAAGAACUUUAAGUGAGGAAACCCUUCCUCAACUACUUCCCACUCCUCGCCUAUGAAGGCAUUGUCUGAUAGUUUAAGGACCUCGAGUUUGGAUAAUUUACCAACAAUGCUCAAAUCCUUCCAUGCCAAAGAAAAUUUUCCCCUAAAAGUUAAACUCUUAAGGUUUUGUGGAAAAGCAUCCGGAGGAGGUAAGAGUAAAGUUGGAACAUCAGUUGGAGGUGCAGUUCCCCCGAAACGAGUCUGAAACCUCAGAGGAUCUUGCGGAGUAGAACCUGAAGGUGCAGUGUUUUUUAGAAAGCAAGCAAUAGGUGAAUAAUAAAUACCAAAUGUCAAUUUCUCGAGCUGAUAUAAGUAGCGAAAAUCAUACAGGUCCUUGUGAUUGCGAAAGUCCUCUGGGACGCCAAAUACUUUCAACUUCUUUAAAUUGGGAAAUAGUCUAAAAAAAGACCCUGUACAAUACCGAGGAUUCAAUUGAUUGAGGCAUUGCAAACUUUUCAAAACCAAUCUGUUCUCUGUAGGCUCAUGACUCUGCAAGUAAUUCCAGCCCAUAUGCAGCUUCCUCAAUUGUGGCAUCGUCAAAAUUUCCGAUGGUAAUAUGAAAGGAUAACUACUAUUGGGAAAUGGAAGGUAAAGUUUAAAAGUUUGCAGAUAGCAUAGGCUUGAUAUCGAUAGAGGAAUGUCUAUUAUUGAUGAGGGAACAGCUUCUUUCGAUCCUCGAUACUGCUUUAAGCAAGGCUUAAAACACAAAGAUAGGUAUCUCAAAUGAAAUAGAGAAAGUACUCCACUGGGAAAAAAUGGGCAUAUAGUCAAACCAAGAUCUAGUACUCUUACUAGCUUGAAAGACAAUGCCAGUGUGACGCAUUUGAAUCCACCCAACAUGAUAAUAGAAUGAGCCUCACUGCUACAACACCAAACCAAUUUUUUCUCAUUAUGGAUUCUGAUCCGAUUUCGACUCUUAAAGGAACACUGCAUGGAUUGUUCACAUGAAUUUUGAUAACUCUUUCCUCUGAUAACAUUCACAAAAUUCAUGUUUCGAGCUUCCCUCAAACAGAGUUCACGGGUCACAUCAUGCAUUCCACAACUUUCUAUUGUUCCACGAAAACUAAAAUUGUGGAUGAAAAUUAAGCUUCUAUCUAUAAGUUCAUUUAUACAUGUUGUUGCCACCUCUUCUAUGCUUUUUCCCUCUUCUUCAUUCAAAAACCCCUCUACGGCCCAUAAUUCAACAAGUUUAUUUACAUAAAUCUGUUCAUCCUCUGCGAAAAUUGCAAAAUACAGAAAACACGGUUUUAGGUGAGAAGGCAAGUGAUGGUAACUCAAAGCCAACACUCUCAUGCACUUUGCUUCAAGAUCUGUGCUUACCACUGAACUUACAUUCUCCGCAACAUAUUGCCACACACCCAAUGUUUUACUGAUUUUGGAGAGAAGUCCAGCAAUCACAGUAAUUGCUAGAGGUAACCCUCCACAUUUUAAUGCAAUUUGUUUCCCAAUAUUUUCAAAUUCAGGAGAAUAAGAACCUUCUUUUUCAAAGAUCUUUUUGUGUAGUAAAUUCCAACUUUCGUCAAAAUUCAUGAGGCGCAUGUGAUGAGGAGGCUUACCUGACCUAGCACAUUCAGCCACUUCCACAUUCCGAGUAGUCAGGAGUAUUCUGCUUCCAUUAUAACAGUCUGGGAAACAUAGUUUUAUAUCAUCCCAAGCUUCUGUAGUCCAUAUGUCAUCAAUGACUACCAAGUAUCUCCUGCCUUUCAGAUGCUUCUGCAAUCGGUCCGCUAGCUGAUCAUCAGGUUCAUCACUUAUCGAAGGAAGAAGGCCUAGGAUUACAUUUCUCACACAAUACUCUUGUGAAACAGUUGCUUUUGCACGAAUAUCAAAUCGAGACAUAAUGUAAGGAUCACUAUAGAGUUUUGUAGCCAAAGUUGUUUUCCCGAUACCUCCCAUCCCUACGAUUGAGACAACUUCUAGUUCCCUUCCUCCUCUAGCAAGUUGAUCCAGCAUCAUCUCAAAUUCAUUUUCACGGCCAACCAUUAUAUUCUCGGGCUGCUCAACAGCAUGUUCAGGUAAACUGACAAGUGAGCUAGUUUGUGGUUUUAGAUCUUUCAUGCUGUCCGAUGCUGCCAUCCACUGUUUCACGGUGGAAGCAAUGCAUUCUAGUGCUUGUUCCAAGACGAAAAAAAUCUCCCACAUAGCCCUGCUUCUUUCCUCCAAAUUCUGUGCUAAAAAAACAUUUCUUGAUUCCGAGUCAACCAUAUCUUCUGUUGUGUAUGCUACCUCUGCGAUUUCAACUUCCAAGAUUGUUAACCCCUCAUGAUCGCCCAUUAUAUUGCAGGAUUUCUCCAGAAUAGCUCUCAAAGAUUUGAGCUUUUCAUAAAACGGUUGCAAAUCACAUCCAGUAAGUUCCAUUGAUUGAUGUAUGGUUCUCAUAAGGGAAGUAACAGCAGCAUAAGCCAUAUAUCCAAAAAAUAGAAAUAUCUCUCAGUAUGAAAAUGGACAAAUUGCCACAAGUUAUGUAAUUUUUCAGUUUUUAAGAAAACAGAAAAUGCAAAGUUCUUUCUUUUACUAGCUAUUUCCAUCACAUUUCCAGCUAGGUCCACCAACCUUAUCAUCAUGUAGACAAAAGCAGAGACCAAAGUUAAAAAAAAAAGAAAAAAGGCAGGACUCUAACAGGAAAAAGUAGAAAAAAUUGUGACCAUUCAUUAUUAGACCCUACACUUAUCUAUUCAUGAAUAUAGGUAUGUUUCUUACAUACAAGAGAUUGAUGAUUUUAAUUCCAUUGAAAGCAACUUCGUAGAAUUUUCCAAAUCAAAGAGAGAGAAAUAUUAAGAUCCAAGUAGGAAUUUCUCUAUUCCUAGUUCGAUUCAAUUAACCAAGCAUAAAUAUCUCUUUAAAUAUAUAUGAGAAGUUUAGACUCUAAAAGUCAAAUCAACAAAAUAUUUAUGGGCUAACACAUGAAAAACUAUUGAGAAAAUUGCCUAAUUUCUGUAAAUUGGCCCUUAAAUCUCCAAAAUGGACUCUAAAAAUUGUCAGACUGUACGUAUUGCUCCCAACUCCCUACUAAGGGUUCUGUAAUUUCGAUUAGAAUUCGCCCGUAAGUCAUAUCACCAAUAUAUUAAUGACUAACACACACGAAAAACUAAGAAAAUUGUCUAAUUUCUUGAAAUUGGCCCCUAAAUGCCUAAAAUGGACUCUAAAAAAUUGUCAGACUGUACGUAUUGCUCCCAACUACCUACUAAGGGUUCUGUAAUUUCGAUUAGAAUUCGCCCGUAAGUCAUAUCACCAAAAAUAUUAAUGGGCUAACACACACAAAACACUGAGAAAGUCGCCUAUUCCUGUAAAUUGGCCCCUAAAUGCCCAAAAUGAACUCUAAAAUUGUGAGACUAUGUACUGCUCCACUAACUCCCUAUGGAGGGUUCCGUAAAGAUUUCACAAAGAAAUUAUUCGGAAGAUAUAUCACCAAAAUAUUUAUGGGCUAAUACAUUUUUAUUUGUCCAUUUGAUUUGAUAUAUCUUUCAAGUACUUUGAUCCGGUUAUACUUUUUUUUUAUUGCUAAAAAUAAAUAUCCACUUUUACUUGUUCAUUCUACAAAACAAAGACAAUAUUUUAUUGCUUGAUUCAGAUAUAAAAUUUGAGUAGGCUAAUUUACAAACCAUCUGUAGUCAUCCUGCCCCUAUGCUAUAACAUUUGAAAGAAAGAGGUCAUCAUCAUCAUAUUCAUCAUCGUUGUCAUCUUCAUCUUCAUCUUCAUCAUCAUCUUCAUCUUCAUCAUCAUCUUCAUCAUCAUCUUCAUCUUCUUCAUCAUUAUCAUCAUCAUCAUCAUGAUCGUCAUCGUCACUUGUUUCCUCACUGUUGAAAAAGCCAGCAACAAAAGAUGAAAAAUGAAAUGUUAUGCAAGUAUAACAAGUUACACAAUUACUAUAUUGGAAGGAUUUAAAUCAUAUACAAUGACAACGUAUGAACUUUUACACUAUAGGUGCCAUUUAACUGCUUAUUAAAGCAACUUAUAAUUAUUUUAUUACUAGUUCUGGACACAUGCUUUGCAUGUGUAUAUUACACGUUUAGUCACGAUUGUAAGAGGGUGUACACCAGGAUCAUUCGAAGAGCAAAGUCGUGUGAGCCUUACAGAUAUUCUUGACGUACUCCUAUUAAAAUCUGUAUCAUAAUAUCUGAUGAAAUCAGCUACUGAUCAGUCAAGCUCUCCAUUGAUGUAGACUUCAACUACACAUGAGAAAGAAUGAGAGAAGAAGAGAGAAGAGAAGAGAAGAAGAAUCUAGAAGAGCAACAUGAAAAUUAAUCUCUCAUUGAAUGUGAAUUAAAACUACAAGAAUUACAAUGUGACUAUAUAUAUAUAAUCACUGGCAGAAAUUAACUAACUAACAAACUUGAUUCUAACUAACUCUACUGUACAUAGAUUCUAACUAACUCUACUGUACAUAACCGACUCUACUGUACAUAACUAACUAAUUAUACUUUAUAUUCUCAUCACCCCCCCUCAAGUUGGAGGUGAUGUAAUUACAGACAACUUGUGCAAUAAGGCAGUAUGUUUAACUCCAGUCAGAGCCUUGGUGAAGAUGUCUGCCAACUGUGAAUCAGUGGGAAUAUGAUGGAGUGUGAUUAGGCCUUGUUGAAGCUUGGUCCUAACAAAGUGACAAUCGAUUUCUAUGUGCUUUGUCCUCUCAUGAAAAACUGGAUUCUUUGCAAUGUGGACUGCUGCUUGACUGUCACAAUGGACAGGGAUAGGUAAGGAGCAUUGUACAGUCAACUCAUCCAACAAUCGUUCAAGCCACACUAGUUCUCCUACAACUUGUCUCACAGCUCUAUAUUCAGCUUCAGCAGAUGACAAAGACACUGUUGCUUGCUUCUUAGACUUCCAGCUGACAGGACUAUCACCCAGAAGCACUAGGUAUCCACUAACAGACUUCCUGGAAUCAGGGCAAGCAGCCCAAUCAGAAUCACAAUAAGCACUGAUAGUGAGAUCAGGCUUGUUUGAGAUAAAAAUUCCCAAUGUUGGAUCCUGUUUCAAAUAUCUGAGCACAUGGUAUGCUGCUUUUAAAUGUGGUUCCCUAGGUGAUUGCAUAAAUUGGCUCAAGUGUUGUAUACUAUAAGCUAUGUCCAUUCUAGUGUUGGUCAAAAAAUUUAGCUUACCAACCAACUUCCUGUAUUGAGUAGGAUCAGAUAAAAGAUUGCCAUCUGUAGCUGUUAACUUCUCAGUGCAAUCAAGUGGUGAUGUAGUGGCCUUGUGACUUAACACAUCAAAAUCUUUCAGGAGAUCAGAAGUGAAUUUCCUUUGUGAAACUAGCACUCCAUCAUGUCUGUAUAAUAUUUCCAGUCCCAGAAAGUAGUGUAGUUUGCCCAAAUCCUUUAUCUUGAACUGAUCAUUUAAGAAGCUCUUUAAGGAGUUGAUUUCAGCCACAUCUGUUCCAGUUAGAAUUAUGUCAUCCACAUAUACAGCAACAAACACCAAGGAGCAGCCCUUCCUUUUGUAGAACAGUGAGUAAUCACUGUCUGAGUGCUGAUACCCUCUUGAACAUAGACAGUUUGCCAACUUCUCAUACCAUUGCCUGCUGGCCUGUUUUAGUCCAUACAAAGACUUCUUCAAUUUGCACACCAUGUUAUCACAACCUACUACAAGACCUUGUGGAGGUGCCAUGUACACUUCCUCAUGCAAAUCACCAUGUAAGAAUGCAUUAUUGACAUCUAGCUGAUACAAGCUCCAAUCUUUCUUAACAGCUAAAGAGAUUAAUGUUCUAACAGUAGUCAUUUUAACUACAGGUGAGAAGGUUUCAGUGUAAUCUACCCCAACUUGUUGUGUAUAACCUUUGACCACCAACCUACACCCCAGCUUGUUGUGUAUAACCUUUGACCACCAGCCUAGCCUUGAACCUCUCCACACUCCCAUCAGCUUUGUGCUUGAUUUUGUACACCCACUUGCACCCAAUAGCUUUCUUCCCAUCAGGUAACAUGACCAUCUCCCAAGUGUCAUUAGCAUACAAAGCUUCAAACUCCUGUGUCAUGGCCUGCUGCCAGGCAGGGUGCAAUAUUGCUUCCUCAAAUGAAAUAGGCUCACAUUCAUGUGAAAUGGUUGUUACUAACUGCUGACUAUCAGAACAAAGACUGGUGAAACAUACAUGUUUAUGGGGAGAUAUAAAGGAAGUGAGGGAGUGCAGCUUAGGUAUAGUGUAGGUGUAUUCUUUUAGGUAAUUAGGAGUGUGUAUGGUUCUGGUUGUUCUUCUAGGUGCUGAUAUUGUAGGUACUGGUAAAGUAUCAUGAUGCAUGGUGGCAUUUGGAUCAGGUAAGGUAGGUUGAGUUGUAGUAGGUUGAGUUGUAGGUUCAUGUAGGACAGCAGGUGGUACUUCAUUCAUGUUGGUAUUACUGGUUACUUGAUUAUUAGUGACUUCAUGUGGUGUGAAAUUUUCCAGUUGAUCAUCAUUAGCAAAAAUGUUCAUUUUACCAGACAUACAAGGCAUGCUAGUGGUAUGAGUAAGCAUUUGCAGAAUGGAAUUGAAACUAGAACCAUCAGGGGCAAUAACAAAAGGAAAAAUAUUUUCUUGAAAAAUAACAUCUCUUGAUAUAUGAACUUUCUUGGUAGCUAAAUUCAAAACUUUGUAACCUUUUGUAUUGAAAGGGUAACCAACAAAAACAUGAGGUGUGGUUCUAGGUUCAAAUUUAUCUUUGUGAGUUUUCAAGGUAGUGGGGAAACAAAGACAACCAAAACUCUUAAGGUGGGAAUAUGUAGGUGAUUUAUGGUACAACAUUUCAUAUGGAGAUUUAUUCUGUAAAAGUUGAGUGGGCAGUCUAUUAAUCAGGUAUGUGGCAGUCAAUACACAUUCCCCCCAGUACCUCAUAGGCAACUUUGACUGAAACAAAAGUGCCCUUGCUGUUUCAAGUAGGUACUUAUGUUUCCUUUCUACCACCCCAUUUUGUUGAGGUGUAUAAGGACAAGUUCUUUGGUGUAUGAUACCUUGUUUUGGAAGAAAUUUGUGGCUUCAGCUGAAGUAAACUCUAACCCAUUGUCAGAUCUUAUGGCUUUUUAACUUGGUUUGGAAUUGGUUUUCUAUGAGAGAUAUGAAGGCUUUGAUAGUUUGGAGAGCAUUACUCUUACAUCUCAGCAAUUGUGUCCAAGUGGACCUACUGUGGUCAUCUACCAUAGUGAGGAAAUAAUGAUAUCCAUCAUGAGUGGGAACAUGAUAUGGUCCCCAUAGGUCAACAUGUAACAACUCAAACACUUUAGUGGUGGUGGUGAUACUUUCUGGAAAAGGCAUCCUAGUUUGCCUAGCCAUAGGGCAUAUAUUGCAAGUAAAAGGCUGUUUAGGAGAAAAAUGAACAGGUAUAGUUGAGAUAUUUUUCAUUUUUACAAAAGGUACAUGUCCUAAUCUAGCAUGCCACAAAAGUUCAUCAUCAUGAGUGUGAUUAGAGACAUUUGUAAAUGAAGGACAAGCAUGAGUAAAACAAGAGGAAGGAAAAACAGUACAAUCUGCCUUAUUCAUAGGAGAGUAUUUUACAGAAGAACCAGUGGACACAUUAGAAUCUGAAACCCUGCUAGUAUUGCCUAAAGAAGAGACAAGAGGACAAUUAACAUGAGGUGCUUUACUCUCAGCAGAUGGACAACAAUUGUGGCAUUUGUGACACAAGAAGUACAGGCCAUUCUUGGCUUUACCAAGUUCCAGAGGGCUCUUCAGAGAAGGGCCCUGCAGCAAACAAGAAGAUUUGUCAAAGCUGACUACACCAUUGAAUUGUAGUGCUAAACAAUGAACAGAAAUGAGAUUAAACUUGAAGCUAGGUACAAACAACACUUUGCUUAGAGUCAAAGCUGGAUUUAAACAAGCAUCACCAAUUUCAGUCACUUUAACCUUGUAACCAUUAGGGAGUGAAAUUAGAAAGGGAUAUGGAAGUGAAAUGAUGUUUGUGAGGGUGGUCUUAUCAUAGGUCAUAUGGUGUGAUGCUCCUGAAUCUAUGAUCCAAGAGCCAGCAGUCAGUUUAACACAUUUACAAGAAAGAUCACCUAUAUCAGUAAUAGAGGAAUAACAUGCAAGUAUACCUGCCAAGUUCACAGCUCCAUUCAGCAUGUUGUUUGAGUUGUCUGAGGCUCCAUUUCCAACUUGUAAAGUUCCCAGGAGAUUGAGUAGUUGUUCAUAUUGAUCUUUGGACAAGUUCAAUGGCAUUUGUCUCCUUACUUCAGGUUCCUCUUCAGAUUGAACUCCAUUCAUAUCAGGGGCACACACAUUUGCUGCAGCUUUUCCCUUUUUGAACCUUGGAUUUGGAUUGGAUGGGUAUCCAUGAAGCUUGUAACAUCUAUCCUUUGUGUGUCCUGAUUUCUUACAGUAGUCACAAAACAAAGAAGACUUGCCAGUGCUAGAAUUGCCUCUAAACCCAGUAUUACCAGAAUUGGUUCCACCUCCUCCAGAUGAACUGUAGUUUGUCCGGAAUCCCCUGUAUCCUGCACUGCUGUUGGUCUGUCCAUAAGCAUUGAGAGAGGUAGAAUCCAAGGCUGUAUGAUUAUGAGGCUUCACCUCCCUUUGUUUUUCCUCUUGGGAUAAUAUGGCAAAAGCUUGAGCCAUGCUUGGAAGUGUGUUCAUCAUGAGAAUGCUGCCUCUGACAGUCGUAUAUAUCUCAUUCAAUCCCAUUAGAAAAUGUAUCAAUCUUCUGUCUUGUUCAGCCUUGUGUAAUUUGCUUUUACCCCCACAAAUGCACACACAAGUACACUGAGAAUUGACAUCAAUGGUACUCAUUUCCUCCCACAACUUCUUCAUUCUUGUGUAAUAUCCAGUGAUGUCUAAAGUGCCUUGGACCAGAUCAUUAAUUUCCUUCUGCAGUUGAUACAAUUUACACCCAUUGGUUUGAUCGUACCUUUCUUCUAGUUCUCCCCAAAGCUCCUGAGCAUUAUUGACAUACUGCAGACUAUCACGCAAAUCUGGUGACAAGGAAUUCAGGAUCCAAGAUGUGACCAUAUCAUCACACCUUUCCCAUUGCUGAAAGCUAGGAUCAGUAGGAUCAGGUCUCACAACCUUCCCAUUAAUGAAUCCUGUCUUGCUCUUAACAGAUAAAGCCCUGAGAACUGCUCUUCUCCAGGAUCUGUAACCAGUUCCAUCAAAAACUGCAGGUAAUAGGGAUGAACUUGCAUUCUCAGAUGGAUGCAAGUAGAAAGGACUAGGGAUUUCUACCCUAACAGUGGAUGCAGAAGCAUUUGGAAUGGAAUCAUUUGAAGAAUCGACCAUUGUGAAUUGAAAAUUGGGAAGAAGAUCAAGUCGAGAACAACCAGAUCAAACAGCGUUCACAAACAAAAUUGACAGAUCGAAGAUCCAGUCGAGAUCAACCAGAUCAAAGAAAAAAUUCACAUAAGAGAAAACGAAGCUCACAGAUUGAAUUGGAAACAAAAAAAAACAGGAGCAAUUCCCUGUGCUUUGAUACCAUGAUGAAAUCAGCUACUGAUCAGUCAAGCUCCUCCAUUGAUGUAGCUUCAACUCACAUGAGAAAAGAUGAGAGAAGAAGAGAGAAGAGAAGAGAAGAAGAAUCUAGAAGAGCAACAUGAAAAUUAUCUCUCAUUGAAUGUGAAUUAAAGAAGUGAGUAUUACAAUGUAUCUGUAUAUAUACACAAUCACUAAGCAACUAAUAAUCAUUGGCAGAAAUUAACUAACUAACAAACUUGAUUCUAACUAACUCUACUGUACAUAACCGACUCUACUGUACAUAACUAACUAAUUAUACUUUAUAUUCUCAUCAAUAUCCCUUUUUUCAAAUUUCAUAGCUGAACUACUAGGUGUGCGAGUUCCUACCAGAACUAUUACCAACUAUUUAUCAAAACACACAUCAACUAUAUAUGAGUUGUUCCCUUUUACUAGUGGUGAAAAAUAGGUGGAUUUGGACGGGACUGAAAAUGGAUUGAGCAACAUGGUCGUAACUCACUUUAAUCUCUUAAAGCCAGAAAACUUUAAAGAGUUAAUUGAAAUAAACUUAAUGACUAUCCUACUUGAAGUAUCACCAUCGUUCAGGUAAGAAAAAGGAAGUAAAUCAAGGAAGACGAUGUCUUACAAAGCCUGAUGGAUAUGGACCUCGAUAGAACCUCCAUAGUUGUCUUGAAUGUCCUGUUGAAUCUGCUUUGCGGAAUUCCCAACAGAUUCUGGGCAGUUUCUUAUAUCAAUUAGAGCAAGUGUGGUUAUAUCUGCAAAAUCUUGAGGGAUUGAGUCCAAAAACCUGCAACUAUCAAGAAAUAGUCGUUCAAGGCACGGAAAGUGAUCACAACUAGCUCUCCAGUACUGAAUAUGUGAUCUUUUAAGUAACAAGAACUUCAAAAAAGGAAACCCUUCCUCAGCUACUUCCCACUCCCUGCCUCUGCAUACACCCUGUGUUAGUUCAAGAAGUUCAAGUUUGGGCAAUUUUCCGACAACAAUGCUUAAAUCCUUCCAUGACAAGAAGAAAUUUCCUGUAAAAGUUAAAUUCUUAAGGUUUCGUGGAAAAGCAUCUGGAGGAGGUAAGAUCAAAGAUGGAACAACUUCUACAACAAGUGGAUUCCUUGUCUGAAAACACAUUCUCCUCUCCAAAAAGUAAGCAUUAUUUUGAGGAGGAAGACAAAAUGCUAGUUCCUCGAGAUGAUCUAAGUAGCGAAAAUCAUAGAGGUCUUUGUGACUAUGGAAGUCUUGUGGGAUGCCACGUACUUGCAACUCCUUUAAAUUGGGAAAUAGUCUAAAGAAAGAUGCAGUACAAUAGCUAGGAUUCCAUCCAAACAGAGAAUGUAAAUUUUUCAUAACCAAACUUUUCUCUGUAAGCUCAUGAUAUCGCAAGUAAUUCCGAUCCAAAUGAAGGUGCCUCAACUGUGGCAUAGUCAAAAUUUCUGAUGGUAAUAUCAAAGCAUGUUUACGAAGAUUAAUAACGAGUGGAAGGUAAAGUACCAAACUUUGCAGAUAGCAUAGGUUUGAUAUGGAUGUAGGAAUGUCUACUCUUGAUGAGAGAACAUCUUCUUCGGAUCCUAGAUAUUGCUCAACGUUAGGAUAAAUACGCAAAGCUAGGUGUCUUAAGUGAAUCAAAUAAAGUAUUUCACGGGGAAAAGUUAGACAGAUAUUAUCAGCAAGAUCUAGAACUCUUACUAGCUUGAACGGCAAGUACUCCCUCAUGCAACAUCGGAAUCUACCAAAUAAGAUAACAGAAUGAGCUUCACUGUUAAGGCACCUAACAUACUCUUUCUUAUUAUGGAUGCUGAUUCGACCUCGACUCUUAGACAAACACUGCAUAGAUUUCACACAUGGAUUUUGAUCAUUCUUACUUCCGAGAACAUUCACAAAAUUCAUGUUACGAGCUUCCAUCAUACAGAGUUCACGAGUCGUAUCAUGAAUUCCACAACACUUAAUUUUUCCAUCAAAAGUAGUACUUUCUAUGGAAAUUAAACUUCUAUCAAUAAGAUCUUGUAGGUACUUUUCUGCCACUUCUUCUAUGCUUUUCAUCUCUUCUACCUUCAAAAAUCCCUCUGUUUCCCACAAUAUCAUAAGUUUAUUGACAAAAAUCAGUUUAUCCUCUGGGAAGAUUGCGAAAUAUAAAAAGCAUGGUUUUAGGUGGUGAGGCAAGUAAUGGUAACUCAUUGCCAACACCCUCAUGCAUUGGACACCAACAUCUGUGCUUACUGCUGAACUUACAUUUUCAGCAACACUUUGCCACUCACUCAAUGCUUUGUCAAUUUUAGUGAGAAGUCCCGCGAUCACAACAAUUGCUAGAGGCAAUCCUCCGCAUUUCAAUGCAAUUUGCUUUCCAAGUUGUUCAUAUUCAGGGGAGAAAGAGUCUUUCGUAAAGACUUUUUCAUACAAUAAACUCCAACUUUCGUCAAAAUUCAUGAGGCGCAUGUGAUAAGGAGGCUUACCUGAGCUAGCAUAUUCAGCCACUUCCACAUUCCGAGUAGUCAAGAGUAUUCGGCUUCCAUUAUGAAAGUCUGGGAAACAUAUUUGUAUAUCAUCCCAAGCUUUUGUAGUCCAUAUGUCAUCAAUGACUACCAAAUAUCUCUCACCUUUUAGAAGCUUUUGUAGUCGAUCUGCUAGUUGCCCGUCAUGUAGCUGAUCAUAAGGUUUAUCACUUAUACAAGAAAGAAGGUCUAGGAAAACAUUUCUCACACAAUACUCUUGUGAAACAGUAGCUUUAGCACGAAUGUCAAAACGAUACAUCAUGCAUGGAUCGUUGUAGAGUUUCGUAGCCAAAGUUGUCUUGCCAAUGCCUCCCAUACCUACAAUUGAUACAACUGCUAGUUCUCUUUCUCCUCUAGCAAGUUGAUCCAGCAUCAUCUUGAAUUCAUUUUCAUAGCCAACCAUUAUAUCCUCGGACCGCUCAACAGCACGUUCAGGUAUCUUGGAUAGACAAAAAUUUUGUGCUUUGAAAUCUUUAAAGUUGUUGUACCAGUCCCAUAUUGCCAACCACUGCAUCAUGAAGGAAUCAAUGCAUUCUACCUCUUGUUCCAAGGAACAACAGAGUUCCCAGAAAGCUUUGCUUCGUGUAAUUACAGUUUCUGCGGAAGAAACUUUUCUUGAUUUCGAAUCAACCAUGUCUUCUGCUUUGUAUGCUACCUCCGCGAUUUCAACUUCCAAGGUUGUUAACCCCUCAUGAUCUCCCGUUAUAUUGCAGGAUUUCUCCAUAAUAGCUCUCAAAGAUUCAAGCUUUUCAUAGAAUGGUUGCAAAUCACAUCCAGUAAGUUCCAUUGACUGGUGUAUGGUUCUCAUAAGGGAAGUAACAGCAGCAUAAGCCAUAUAUCCAAAAAAUAGGAAUCUCUCACACUCAGUAUGAAAAUGGACAAAUUAAUUGCCACAAGUUAUGUAAUCUUUCUUUUACUAACUAUUUCCAUCACAUUUCUAGCUAGGUCCACUAACAGGUAAAGUAGAAAGAUGUGAGGUCCCUAACCUUAUCAUCAUGUAGACAAAAGAAGAGACCAAAGUUUUUAAAAAAAAGACAGGAAAAAGUAGAAAAAUUUGUGAUCAUUCAUUAUUAGACCCUACACUAAUCUCUUUAGAAAAAUAAACUAAAAUUUUAGUUUAAAUAAAGGAGUUCAAGCUGUAUAUUGAUAACGCCCAAUUCAAAUUCAAGUGUAGUACGGUCUAGCAAUAAUAAACUCAACAAAUGUUGGGGUCGAGGAGUAUGCUUGUGUCAAGGUGACAGAGAAUGCGAAUUUGCGAAUUUCCUAAGCUUAUCUACAAAUAAAAGGUCUUUCUUUUAGCUAGGUCCAUAAUCCAUGUAGUGCUCUCUACUCUCUAGUCUCUAUCAACCAACUCAAGUUUAAGGGUGUGUUUGGUAUGGAGGAAACAUUUUCUCUAGAAUAGGGAGAGUUUUGUGCAUAAACAAAGAAGAAUAUCUCAGUAUAACAGUGAAUGUGUAUUUUUUUUAUGAUUUGCUUCAUUUGAGUAUGACUUUUGUAAGAAAAUUCUGGUAAAAGUUUAAAAAAUGAUCUUGUGGAAUAAGCACAGUGAAUUCCUUAAUAUUCGAGUAGAAAAAGCCAGGGAGGAUAACAUUGCUAUUUGUACACUUAUCGUGACACGAGUAGUCUCUUAAAUAUUACACCUUUCUACUGGUGUUGCUGGUGCCACUGAAUUUAGCCUUCCGUCUUCCUUUGCGAGGUAGAUUGAGGACUCCCAAGAAAGGAAACACAAGGUACUGGAGUCUGUUCCGGCCUCUACAGUAUGUAUGUACAUAAAAUUUGGAGUAACUAAAAAACCACUGACAAAUGGCUAUACGAAAGAUCAUAUACAAUUUAAUUACAAGCCAUUUGCAAUCAUCCUGCCCCUUUAUGCAGAAUCUUUUCAAAGAAAAUGAAAACAAACACUCACACAUUUGGCUUCUGAUUGACAUUUAUUUCAGAGAACUGGCUAGUCCUCAGAACACCUUAACUACUCGCUGCAGAAAAAAAAAGACGCAAAAAAUGGAAAAUAAUAUGUUAGAUGUCCCAUAAUUAAGGAACAGGAGAACAUUAUAGCAAGAAUGAGCAUGCAGGUAUAAGAACUUACACAUUAUUGCGGCAAGAAGCAACUUCUUUCUCAAAGUCAAUAUCAUCAUCUUCAUCUAUUGUUACACUACAUCGAAAAUGCUUGCUACAAAAGAUGAAAAAUGAAAUGUUACACUUCCCAAAAUCAAGAAUGAGCAUGCAAGUAUAACAACUUACACAAUAUUGGAAGGAUUCGAAUCAAUCACAAUGACAGCAUCAAGAACUUUUGUUGAAUUGGUGUAAUUUGACUUACUAAAGCUAUUAUCCAGAUUAUUAUCGAGUUUACUAUAAUGAUGAGUUAAAUAUUGUUGUAAAUCAAGGAAGAAGAUGUACUUACUAAAGAUUACGAGUAUGGACCUCGAUAGAGCUUCCAUAGUUGUCUUGAAUGUCCUGUUGAAUUUGCUUGGCGGAAUUCCCAACAGAUUGUUGACAGUAACUUAUAUCAAUAAGAGCUAGUGUGGUUAUAUCUGCAAAAUCUCGAGGGAUUGAAUCCAAAUAAUAGCAACUUCUAAGAAAAAGUCGUUCAAGGUACGGAAAGUGAUCACUACUAGCUCUCCAGUACCGAAUGCAUACUUCAUGCAGAAACAAGAACUUCAAGUGAGGAAACCCUUCCUCAACUACUUCCCACUCCUCGCCUAUGAAGGAUUUCCAUGAUAGUUUAAGGACCUCGAGUUUGGGUAAUUUACCAACAAUGCUCAAAUCCUUCCAUGCCAAAAAGAAUUCUCCGCUAAAAGUUAAACUCUUAAGGUUUUGUGGAAAAGCAUCCGGAGGAGGUAAGCGUAAAGUUGAAACAUCAGUUGGAGGUGCAGUUGCCCUGAAAGGUAAGAGUAAACUUGUAUAAAGUUGAACAACUAGCCACAUGAGUCCUACAUGACACAAUACACAUAAGACACCAACUAUUUCCAUCACAUUUCCAGCUAGGUCCACUAACAGGAUAAAGUAGAAAGAUGUGAGGUCACUAACCUUAUCAUCAUGUAGACAAAAGAAGAGACCAAAGUUAAAAAAAAAAAAGACAGGAAAAAGUAGAAAAAUUUGUGAUCAUACAUUAUUAGACCCUACACUAAUCUCUUUAGAAAAAUAAGUUUCAAUAAAGGAGUUCAAGCUGUAUAUUGAUAACGUCCAAUUCAAAUUCAAGUGUAGUACGGUCUAGCAAUAAUAAACUCAACAAAAGUUGGGGUCGAGGAGUACACUUGUGUCAAGGUGACAGAGAGUGUUCUGGCCUAUACAGUAUGUAUGUAUGUACAUAAAAUUUGGAGUAUCUAAAGAACCACUGACAAAUGGCUAUACGAAAGAUCAUAUACAAUUAAAUUACAAGCCAUUUGCAAUCAUCCUGCCACCUUAUGCAGAAAAAAUGAAAAUUCUGAUUUGACAUUUAUUUCAGAGAACUGGCUAGUCCUCAGAACACCUUAACUACUCGCUGCAGAGAAAAAAAAAAGACACAAAAAAUGGAAAAUAAUAUGUUAGAUGUCCCAUAAUUAAGGAACAAGAGAACAUUAUAGCAAGAAUGAGCAUGCAGGUAUAAGAACUUACACAUUAUUGCGGCAAGAAGCAACUUCUUUCUCAAAGUCAUCUUCAUCUGUUGUUAUAUCGAAAAUGCUUUCUACAAAAGAUGAAAAAUGAAAUGUUACACUUCCCAAAAUCAAGAAUGAACAUGCAAGUAUAACAAGUUACACAAUAUUGGAAGGAUUCAAAUCAAACACAAUGACAGCAUCAAGAACUUUUGUUGAAUUGGUGCAAUUGGACUUACUAAAGCUAUUAUCCAGAUUAUUAUCGAGUUUACUAUGAUGAUGAGUUAAAUAUUGUUGUAAAUCAAGGAAGAAGAUGUCUUACAAAAGAUGACGAGUAUGGACCUCGAUAGAGCUUCCAUAGUUGUCUUGAAUGUCCUGUUGAAUUUGCUUGGCGGAUUUCCCAACAGAUUGUCGACAGCUACUUAUAUCAAUAAGAGCUAGUGUGGUUAUAUCUGCAAAAUCUGGAGGGAUUGAAUCCAAAUCAUAGCAAUUUCUAAGAAAAAGUCGUUCAAGGUACGGAAAGUGAUCACUACUAGCUCUCCAGUACCGAAUGUAUAUGUUAUCCAGAAACAAGAACUUCAAGUGAGGAAACCCUUCCUCAACUACUUCCCACUCCUCGCCUAUGACGGCAUUGUCUGAUAGUUUAAGGACCUCGAGUUCGGGUAAUUUACCAACAAUGCUCAAAUCCUUCGAUGCCAAAAAGAAUUCUCCGCUAAAAGUUAAACUCUUAAGGUUUUGUGGAAAAGCAUCCGGAGGAGGUAAGAGUAAAGUUGGAACAUCAGCUGGAGGUGCAGCUUUCCCGAAUUGUGUCUUUUUGUACAAUAAUUUCGUCUGAAACCUCAGAGGAUCUUGCGGAGUAGAACCUGAAGGUGCAGUGCUUUCUAGAACGCAAGCAGCACCUGGAUAAUAAACACGAAAUGCCAAUUUCUCGAGCUGAUAUAAGUAGCGAAAAUCAUACAGGUCCUUGUGAUUGCGAAAGUCCUCUUGGACGCCAAAUACUUUCAACUUCUUUAAAUUGGGAAAUAGUCUAAAAAAAGACCCUGUACAAUUCCGAGGAUUCAAUUGAUUGAGACAUUGCAAACUUUUCAAAACCAAUCUGUUCUCUGUAGGCUCAUGACUCCGCAAGUAAUUCCAGCCCAUACGCAGCUUCCUCAAUUGUGGCAUCGUCAAAAUUUCCGAUGGUAAUAUGAAAGGAUAACUAUCGGUAAAUGGAAGGUAAAGUUUAAAAGUUUGCAGAUAGCAUAGGCAUGAUAUCGAUAGAGGAAUGUCUAUUAUUGAUGAGGGAACAGCUUCUAUCGAUCCUCGAUACUGCAGUAAGCAAGGAUUAAAACACAAAGAUAGGUAUCUCAAAUGAAUUAGAGAAAGUACUCCACUGGGAAAAAUUGGGCAUGGAGUCCAACCAAGAUCUAGUACUCUUACUAGCUUGAAAGACAAUUCCAGUGUGAUGCAAUUGAAUCCACGCAACAUGAUAAUAGAAUGAGCCUCACUGUUACGACACCAAGCCAAUUCUUCCUCCUUAUAGAUACUGAUCCGACUUCGCUUCUUAAAGGAACACUGCAUGGAUUGUGCACAUGAAUUUUGAUCACUCUUUCCUCUGAUAACAUUCACAAAAUUCAUGUUUCGAGCUUCCCUCAAACAGAGUUCACGGGUCACAUCAUGCAUUCCACAGCUCUGUAUUUCCCCAUCAAAACUCAAUUUGUGGAUAGAAAUUAGACUUCUAUCUACAAGUUCGUUUAUACAUGUUUCUGCCACCUCUUCUAUGCUUUUUCCCUCUUCUUCAUUCAAAAACCCCUCUACGGCCAAUAACUCAACAAGUUUAUUUACAAAAAUCCGUUCAUCCUCUGCGAAAAUUGCAAAAUACAGAAAACACGGUUUUAGGUGAGAAGGCAAGUGAUGGUAACUCAAAGCCAACACUCUCAUGCAUUGUGCUUCAGGAUCUGUGCUUACCACCGAACUUACAUUCUCCGCAAUUCUUUGCCACUCAUCUAAUCUUUGACCGAUUUUGGAGAGAAGUCCAGCAGUCACAGUAAUUGCUAGAGGUAAUCCUCCACAUUUUAAUGCAAUUUGUUUCCCAAUAUUUUCAAAUUCAGGAGAAUAAGAACCUUCUUUUUCAAAGAUCUUUUUGUGUAGUAAAUUCCAACUUUCGUCAAAAUUCAUGAGGCGCAUGUGAUGAGGAGGCUUACCUGAACUAGCAUAUUCAGCCACUUCCACAUUCCGAGUAGUCAGGAGUAUUUUGCUUCCAUUAAUACAGUCCAUAUGUCAUCAAUGACUACCAAGUAUCUCCUGCCUUUCAGAUGCUUUUGCAGUCGGUCCGCUAGUUGAUUCUCAGGUUCAUCACUUAUCGAAGAAAGAAGGCCUAGGAUUACAUUUCUCACACAAUACUCCUGCGAAACAGUUACUUUUGCACGAAUAUCAAAUCGAGACAUAAUGUAAGGAUCACUAUAGAGUUUUGCAGCCAAAGUUGUUUUCCCGAUGCCUCCCAUCCCUACGAUUGAGACAACUUCUAGUUCCCUUCCUCCUCUAGCAAGUUGAUCCAGCAUCAUCUCAAAUUCAUUUUCACGGCCAACCAUUAUAUUCUCGGGCUGCUCAACAUCAUGUUCAGGUAAACUGACAAGUGAGCUAGUUUGUGGUUUUAGAUCUUUCAUGCUGUCCGAUGCUGCCAUCCACUGUUUCACGGUGGAAGCAAUGCAUUCUAGUGCUUGUUCCAAGACGAAAAAAAUCUCCCACAUAGCCCUGCUUCUUUCCUCCAAAUUCUGUGCUAAAAAAACAUUUCUUGAUUCCGAGUCAACCAUAUCUUCUGUUGUGUAUGCUACCUCUACGAUUUCAACUUCCAAGAUUGUUAACUCCUCAUGAUCGCCCGUUAUAUUGCAGGAAUUCUCCAGAAUAGUUCUUAAAGAUUCGAGCUUCUGUGUAUGCUACCUCUACAAUUUCAACUUCCAAGAUUGUUAACUCCUCAUGAUCGCCCAUUAUAUUGCAGGAUUUCUCCAGAAUAGCUCUCAAAGAUUUGAGCUUUUCAUAAAACGGUUGCAAAAUCACAUCCAGUAAGUUCCAUUGAUUGAUGUAUGGUUCUCAUAAGGGAAGUAACAGCAGCAUAAGCCAUAUAUACCAAAAAAUAGAAAUAUCUCUCAGUAUGAAAAUAGGACAAAUUGCCACAAGUUAUGUAAUUUUUCAGUUCUUAAGAAAACAGAAAAUGCAAGGUUCUUUCUUUUACUAGCUAUUUCCAUCACAUUUCUAGCUAGGUCCACCAACCUUAUCAUCAUGUAGAAAAAUUUGUGAUCAUUCAUUAUUAGACCCUACACAUAUCUAUUCAUGAAUAUAAGUAUGUUUCUUACAUACAAGAGAUUGAUGAUUUUAAGAGCCUGUUUGGAUGGACUUUUAAGCUGGUCAAACUGACUUAAAAGUCAGUUUUUGACUUAUUAGAGUGCUUGACAAUUAGCAAAGUGACUUAUUUUAAGUCAAAAAUGACUUAUUUUAAGCCAAAAGCUAAAAGCUAAAAGCUAGGUGAGGGGAGUUUUUUUUUUUUUUUAAAACUUAAAAGCCCUUUUAUGUUGACCAAGUAUAUUACCUUUUUGCCCUUAAUUCUUUUAUACAAUUUCCAAAUUGCCCAUAUUGAAUUAUUAUUAUUUUAUUAUUAUUAUUAUUAUUAUUAUAUUAUUAUUAUUAUUCAACUGCAACACUUUUAUCCAAACACAUAACUACUUAUUUUAAAAAUAAGUUCCAGCACUUUAAAAAGUUACUUUUUAAAAGUUACUUUUUUUAAGUCAAUCCAAACGGGCACUAAUUCCAUUGAAAGCAACUUCAUAGAAUUUUCCAAAUCAAAGAGAGAGAAAUAUUAAGAUCCAAGUAGGAAUUUCUCUAUUCCUAGUUCGAUUCAAUUAACCAAGCAUAAAUAUCUCUUAAUAUACAUGAGAAGUUUAGACUCUAGUCAAAUCAACAAAAUAUUUAUGGGCUAACACAUGAAAAAAUACUGAGAAAAUCGUCUAAUUCCUGUAAAUUGACCCUUAAAUGCCCAAAAUGGAUUCUAAAAAUUGUCAGAUGGUACGUAUUGCUCCCCCAACUCCCUACUAAGGGUUUCGUAAAGAUUUCGAUUAGAAAUCAUCCGUAGGUCAUAUCACCAAUAUAUUAAUGGCUAACAGACACGAAAAACUGAGAAAAUUGUCCAAUUUCUUUAAAUUGGCCCCUAAAUGCCUAAAAUGGACUCUAAAAUUGUGAGAUUGUACAUACUGCUCCCCUGACUCCCUACAGAGGGUUCCGUAAAUAUGUAGCAAAUAAAUCGUCUGAAAGUCAUAUCACCAAAUAUUAAUGGGCUAACACACACAAAACACUGAGAAAGUCGCCUAUUCCUGUAAAUUGGCCCCUAAAUUGUAAAAUCCGACAAAUUGAAAUAACUAUGAAGAGGCUUAGAAUUGGAAAUAGUUAUUUUUGGAAAGAAAAAAAAAUAUCUGGAAAAUUUGGUUAAGUAUGGGAAAAAGUGAGUUUUUGGCCAACUUUGAACAGUCAUAACUCCUAGCUCAGGAUGAUUUAGGUGUAGUUCCAGUUAUUUUUGCGAAGAUCGUUGAAUGAUCUUUCCAACGAUGCCAAUUUUACAUGAUUUCGAGUUCGUAUGAGUGAGUUAUGCCCUUUGGAAGUUGGGCUGUUGGCAGGGCAGUUAGCCGGAAAUUGUAAGGGUAUUUUGGUCUUUUCCCUAAUCAAUUCUUUUGGUUAUAUUAGUGUGUUAGACUGAAUUUAGAUCAGUUUUUACCAUUUUAAAAGAGUGAGAGUGAGGGUUAGGGUUCUUGAGAGAAGAGGAGAAGGAGAAGAAGAAGCAAGGUUCGUAGAGAUCGUCGUGGAUUUCGUCGGGGGUGAUCCCUAUUAAGGUAUGUGAGUUCAUAGUGUUGGGUUGGUUCUUUCCCCCACAUGCCACACUCGUUUUAUUUUUGAGAAAAGAUUGGUUGUGUUGUUGAAUUUUUGUGGUUGUUCUUGUUGAAGUUUGUGGUUGUGUUGGUUGAAGUUUGUGGUUGUGUUGUUGAAACUUCUUGUGGGUUUGGUGCAUGUUCCCGGAUGGAAUUCUGAGUUAAAUCUAUUGUAUAUUGAGGGUUUUAAUGAUUCUAAGUGAUUUGGGGAAGAAACCAUUCGAUUUUAGGCGAAAUAGGGUGAGAAAACGAGAAAAUAAACUUGCUGAAAUUUCUGGGUUGGGGGCCUGCGCCUGCCAGAGCGCCCCAAACCCACCUCUGAAGUUUAGGGGCUGGCGCCCCGCGCCACCCAUAGCGCCAGGGUCGCCUACCCCAUCCAAUUUGUCGUCGGUUGCCCCGUUUGAGUUCAUUAAAAGUGCACCUUCACUCCUUUUCGAUUCUAACUACUCUAAGCUACUUCUAAACACCUAAAAGUCAUUCCUAAUAUGAUCAUAAUCUUGAAUUCAUAAAUUCAAAUUCAAGGUAGAGUUGAGAGUUUAUGUUUUUGAGAAUUCUUUCGAAUAUUCUAAGAAAAUCCCUUUGAGUCUUUCUGAGGAGUCUUCUACAAUUUCUAGUAACUUGUUUCAAGACUCGAGCAAGUGAGUAAGAGAAUGAGAAGUGUCGUACACAUGAGUUCCAUGUAGCUUGUACACCUUCAAGUCAAGUUGUUCAUGCCCAUAAUUCAACAUGAACCAUAUUUUAAGAAGUCUUUUACAAAUGUUUAAACCUUGUUUUAAGACUUAAGCUUUGAAGUUAAGUAUUGAGUUCCAAGUUAAGUAUAGAGUUUCAAGUUAAGUAAAGAGCAUACAGUUUCAAGUUAAGCCAAGAGUAAGAGUCAAGUUCAUUUCUCAAAAGUUAUUAGGGAACUAAGUAUUCCCAAAGAAGUUUAUAAAUGUUUUCACAUUUAAGAUGAGAGAAAACUGAGAUUUCCAAAAGAGUUUUGAGAAGUUUGAGUACUAUCUCUUUUUGAGAAAAGAUGAGCUUUGCGAAAGAGUUUCAAAAAUAUGAUUAAUAUGACAAAUCGAGUAUGUCAUAAAUGUUUAAACAGUAUGGUCUCUAGAUAUACCAUCAAUGUUUAAGCAGUAUGAAUAUCCCGAGUCAUCGAUGAUCAUAUAAAAAUAUGGUUUUGAGAUGUUCUUUUUAGAAAGAGUUUUCAAGAGCCUUUGGGCUAAGUUUUGAGUAAUUAUCUCAACUAAAGAAAGAUGUGUUUAAAACACUAAUGAGCUAAAGUAUUUUUGGGAGUAGUCUUGAGCACCGAAUUGGGGACACGAGUUCAUAUUAACUCAACUCUCCAUAAGAACCAUGUAGCUAAACAAGGGAUUUCUCGGGUCAUACUUUUUAGAUGAUCACGAAAGUUAAGCUAGUGGAUCAACUAAGCAAAAGUUAAAGUAAGGUCCUAUAUCACGGAAAGGUAUAGGAUGGUCCUCGGGCAACGUGAGGUAAAACGUUGUAUCAUCACUAGGACUCAUAGUGGUGGUUAUUGGUUAGAGAAACUCCCACAGUAGAAAUUGCAUGGUUCCUCGAGGGGUUCUGCUUAGUAUGGAUGGGGGUAUGGGACUUCAUUCAUGCAUUGCACAAGUAGACUUUGAGAGGAAGCAUGGUAUUUUCAUGAUAUUAUAAAUAUGAUUUUGACGUCAUAUUUUAAAUAGUUUUGCCAGCUUUAUAUAUAUUGCAUGUGUCUCAUUGCUUUAAAUUGAGUUCAGUUACUCAUGAGUUGAACAGAGCCAAGGUAAGUUCUCUUUUGUACACCUUUCAAGCUUAAGUUGUUGUUUAGCUGUCCAGCUCGCAUACUCGUACAUUUCAUGUACUGAUGCCAGUUGGCCUGCAUCUUAUUAUGAUACAGAAGCAGGCAACCAGGAUCAGCAUCCAGCACGCCGUUGAUCCAGCUGAGCACUCCAUAGUCAGUAGUGAGCCUCCUUACUUUUCGGAGGACCCUGUUAUUUUGUGUUCCUAGUUUUGUUUAAUUAAGAUGUUGCGGGGUCUGUCCCAACAUCCAUCUCAGUGUUAUAGAGGCUUCAUAGACAGUCAGUGAGUUAGUUUUGAGUCUCUCAUCUAUGUAUAUAUGUAAAUAUUCUAUUUUGAGACUCGAGUUGCCUUUUUGGCCAGAUUUUUAUCAGUUAGGUUGUCUUAUGACCUUUCAUUGCAUGAAGUUAUUCUAUUGAGUUAGGUUUCCACUGAGUUAAGUAAGCCAGGCCAAGGGUUCGCUUGGGGGCCAACAAUGGUCUUCGAGUGCCGGCCAUGUCCAGGGUGUAGGCUCGGGGCGUGACAUAAAUGCCCAAAAUGAACUCUAAAAUUGUGAGACUAUAGGUACUACUCCACUAACUCCCUAUGAAGGGUCCCGUAAAGAUUUUACAAAGAAAUUUUUCGGAAGACAUAUCACCAAAAUAUUCAUAGGCUAAUACAAACGAACUGAGAAGAUCACCUAUUUCCUAUAAAUUAUCCCCUAAAUGCCCAAAAUGGACUCUAAAAAGUGUGAGACUAACUCCCUACGAAGGGUUCCAUAUAAGUUGCACAAAAGAAAUCGUCCGAAAACCAUAUCACCAAAAUAUUUAUGGGUUAACACACACGAAAAACUAAGAAAAUUGCCUAAUUCUUUGAAAUUGGCCCCUUAAUUCCUUUACGAGAUUAAUUAGAGAUGCAUAUAUAUAUAUAUAUAUAUAUAUAUAUAUAUAUAAAGAAGAAGCUAGUUGUAGGGCUUGAUUGCCAUAAAAUACUUAGACGAUGUGGGUGACGCACAUAGUGAAUCUCAUGAAUUGACUUGUGGAUCAUUGUGAUAUUGGGCCAUGAAACUUAGUCUGAGGGAAAGAUUGUUGGGUGUGAGAUUGAAUUUCCACAUUUGAGAAGCUAUAUAUAAGGUGUAGGAUCGCUUAAGGGAAAAUUUCAUAUAUGACAAACGUAUUUAAUGAAAUAACACUCUAUAGGUAUAGUUUAGUAAUUACAUUCAAUGGGUAUAGUUUAGUUUGCUAUGAAGCAUUAAUUUUGUAUAUUUUCUUUCAAAAAUAUAAUUUAUACAAAAAAAAAUUUUAAUAAAUGGAUACAUGAGUGCUAAAUAUGGUAAUAAAAAAUUUACAUAAUCCCAUUAUUCAAGCUAAUCGUCCAAAAUUAAAUAUUUUUCCAAAAAAAAGUUCUAUAGCAAUAGAAACACCAUAACAACUGGGUUCCUCAAAUGACUGAAGCAUACGAUUAAUCAAUAUUCUUGUAUAUUCAACGCUAGGUAAGCAUUUCUUUCAAGGAAACUUCAUGUUUUGAACGGCAAGAAAGUAUACAAUUGAUUUGUAUAGUAUAUAAUUGAAAUUUUGGAAAAUGGAUUAUUUUUGUUUUUUUCAUUCUAAUGGUUCACAAUAAUUUAAUUUUGUUUAUACAAGAUUAGAUAAAUUUUAUAUUAACAAUUCAAUUCUAAUUUUUUGUUCGAAAAAUUGAAUGACACAAUUUGUAUAUAUGAAGUGUAUAUGAUUCGACAACAACGGUGUGCUUUAAUUUGAUAAUCUUUGUUGUUGUUGUUGUAAUUUUAUUGUAUAUAUAAGUUAUACGAUUUGUAUAUUGUUUAAUUGAUAAUAUUGUAUAUACGUAAGUAAUUGUGUAAAAUUCUUAUCCCAUGUAUAAGUGUAAGUAGUUGUAUAAAAUUACUAAGUCAAUUAUAUAUAUAUGAAUUGUAUAUGAUUCGAUAAAAAAGGUGUGCUUUAAUUUGAUAAUUUUUGGUGUAACCUAACUGUAUAUAUAAUAAUGUAAGGUUUGUAUAUUGUUUAGUUCAUACUAUUGUAUAUAACUUACAAAAUAUACAAAUAUAUAUAUAUAUAUAUAUAUAUAUAAUAUACAAUUGUGAUUUAAGCAGAAAAUAUACAUAUACUACAUACAAUUUUGUAUAUAACUAACAAAAUAUACAAAUAUCUACAUACAAUUGUGUUUUAAGCAAAUACCUGAUGUUCUUUGUAUUUGUCUUGAUCUAAUGAAGGAGACACAACCUCCUCAGAAUCACUAUCUUUGGCUUUCCUCUUACUUUUUCCUUCAACAAUUUUAAUGUCGCUUGCCUUGACAUUGUUGAUGACUUCUGGAAGUGCAAUUGGGUCAUUUUUUUCUUGGAUCUCAAUUCUGCAAUAGAUUUUUCCUCUAGAAUUUGUUUAGAUUUUUCCAUAGACCCUGCAUUGACUCCAAAAUCUUGAGUGAAACCGACUGAAAAUGAAGGUUGAUUAUUAAAAACUUUGACAUGCAAUGACGUACCUCUCGUAAUCCGCUUAGAUGGAGUCGAAUCAUCCAUUUUAUUUUCUAUAAAAAUGAUAAUCUAAUAAGUAAUGAGGGAAUUUUGAGAAAAAAUUAUCCAAACACUAACAAGCACAAUACAUAUACAAUUGAAAAAUGAAAAAAAAGAAGAGGUUCACCUACGAUUUAGGCAGUUACCUGCAAAAAGUAAAACACAAUUGGAGGGAGAAAGUGAAAUUCGAAUUUCAAAUUGGAAGUGAAAGAGUUAUUUUAGGAGAAAAAUAGGAAAUGAGGAAAGGAGAGGAGAUGAGAGAUAAAUUUGAUUUGUAUAAAAUCAUAUACAAAGGCCGAUGAAGGUUUUGUUGAUUCGGUAUACAAAGAGGUGGUGGGUCUCAUUUUUAAUGGCAAAAAAACUGAAACUGUAUUUACUGACAGUAAGUAAAUUAAACUAUACCCUACCCUCAAUGACUAAUAACCUAGUAAUAUUUGUCAACUCGUGUAAUUUUUUCAUAAUGUGUGAGACUUUUUGAAGAAAAAAAAAACUGUGCUAACUUGGUCAAAGUGCACAAUAUCAUACUCUAUUUAGAAUAUCUUUGGGCUAAUUUAUCCGAACAAAAAUAAAUAAGGCCUAAAUCUAAGACCAUUAGCCGUUACUUGAAGACAAGACAUUCAUCAUUUGAACUAUUGAAUUAUGGACACAAGUCAAAGAAUCUUCCAACUAUUCAAGAAGUGUAAUUAAUACUUAAUAAAUAUAAUGUCAUCCUCAAUAACUUCAAAUAAUAUCCAAUAAUCAAUGUUAAAUUUUGAUAUUAGUAGAAAUAGUUAAUGAACCCCAAGUUGUAUAAUUUGAUUGUUGGAAUAGAAGUCAAUCAAAAAUUUAAUUUUUUUAAGAAAUAAUCUUUUUAUUGUGAUUCAAUAAUGUAAUAACACAAGCAUUUACAAUACACAUAAAUUUGCCAUGUCAGCAUAAGGUGUUCAUGAGUGCGUAUAUGACAAUAGUAAAAGUAUUUAUUUGGUCUCUUUUAGAUAAAUUUAAGUAUCUAAAUUACAAUUUGUGUCAAAUUUGAGGGAUUAUCUAGAUAUUUAGAUAAGAUUAUUUAUAUAUAAUUAUCUCUAAACAGGCUCAUAAGCCAGUAAAUGAUACUUUAUAAAUAGCUUCAGUUGUAAGUGUUUCUCUUACAAAUUCAAAUUAAUCUAAUGACAGAACCUUUUUAUGAUUUGACUGAAGAGGUUUCUGUGUUGCUGGUAAGAUGAGGAAUUGGUUUCUAAUCCAAUGGUUGAUUUACUAGAGUUCAAUGGAUACAAAGGUGAUAUAUCUAGAACUAAUUUCUGUAUGACUUUCAUUAUAUAUAGAGAGAAUUAAUUGAUAUGAUGUUUAUUUAGAACUUUUCCUUUCCUUGUUAUCAUAACAUUAUUUCUAUACUUGUGUAUGUCGUUUUACAAGUUAAUAAAUGAAUUUUGUAUGAUUAUAAAGAAUUAAAUUAGAUUCUCCAUUUUUGUUUUUGUUGUAACCAUGUCACAUAUUAGCUUUCUCCAUAAGGAUUGUGUAAUUUUUAAGAGGUUCAAUAAUUUUAUGUUAAAGUAUGUGUUGUUCUAAUUUUAUCGGAUAUUUUUCCAUAAAGGAGAUAGUUUAAGUUUAUAUUAAUUAUUUCACACUUGACUUUUUUGUACAAAAAAUAAAAAGGAAACUAAUUCUUUGUCAAUCAGCCUAGAGUUACAUCGUGUUGGAGGAGAAAAUAAUUAGGUCCCUCAUAAAUGAUUUUGAAAUCAUAGAUCUUUGAUUUUUGCAAAUCUAUAUAUCGUUUUAGAAAGAAAACAAAUUCACUUGGAUGAUUGAGGCACAAAAUAAGAGUAAGGGAUCGAAGAGAGGAGCGAGAUAAAGACAUGAUAAGAGAUGAUCUGGCUAUCAUUAUUAUCUGAGAUGACUUUUUUGUCUUUUAUUCGAUGUAGACAAACAAAUAAAUAGGGACUUAUGAUUUUCAUGAUUUUUUUCUUCAAUUUCUUUUUUGUCUUUUAUUAGAUGUAGACAAGAAAAGAAAAAUCUUUUCAUGUGACUUUUUCCUCAUUUAUUUUUGUUUUAUUUUCAAUUACUUUGUUAGUAUUUAAUAUCGAUUGUUCCUUAAUCAAGCUAUGUUAAACCUUUUCAACAUAAUUUUUUUGGUAACUCCUUUCUAAUAAUUUGUUAAAUCUCCUAAACUCUCGUUACUUAUUUAUGAAAUAAAAUUACCUUAAAACUUUUUACAUAAAUUUAUCUUAAAACUUUUUAUCCUAUUAUAUCUUGCUUUAAUAGUAUUUAAUCUAUAUAUAUUCAGUGUUUAUUUGCUUUCAACAAGUCAAAGAAUAAAUUAGAAUGUAUUCUUUAGAAUUAUAUUCCUAUAGAAUCUUCUCUAUUAUAUAUUCCUACAGUUAGUUACUCUAAAGUAAUAUUAUAUAUUAGUAAGUGUAACAUCCGGCAAUGUGAAAUAAGUGAAGAGGCUUAGAAUUGGAAAUUUUCAUUUUUUGGAAAGAACUUGAAAUCUGGAAAAAAAUUGGCUAAGUGUGGAAAUCAGUUAUUUUUGGCCAACUUUGAGCAGUCGUAACUCCUAGCUCAGGAUGAGUUAGGAGUAGUUCCGGUUAUGGUUGCAAAGUUCGUGGAACGAUCUUUCAAACGCCACCGAGUUUGCUCAAUUCCGAGUUCGUAUGAGCGAGUUAUGGCCCUUUGAAAGUUGGGCAGUUGACAAGGAAAUCCGUCCGGGAAUCAUUAAGGGCAUUUUGGUCUUUUCCCUAGCUAUUUCUUUUGAGGAUAUAUUGUUGUAUAGGGCUGAUCUUUGGAUCAUUUUGUUCCAUUUUAAGAGAGUGAAGGCUAGGGCUUAAGAGUGAAGAAGAGANNNNNNNNNNNNNNNNNNNNNNNNNNNNNNNNNNNNNNNNNNNNNNNNNNNNNNNNNNNNNNNNNNNNNNNNNNNNNNNNNNNNNNNNGAGGAAAAAUCGAGGAGAUCAUCGUGGAUUUUCGUCGGGGGUGAUCCCUAUCAAGGUAUGUGAGCUUUUAGUGUUGGGUGAUCCUUUCCCCCACACAUCUAGCCCCUUUUACUUAUUAAGGAAGGAUUGGCUUUGUUGUUAAAGUUAUUAGUUGUUGUGGUUGAAGUUGUUAAAGCUGUUGGUUGUUGUUGUUGGUAUUGUUGUUAAUUGUGAUGUUGAGAUUCUUGUUGAAUUGGGACUUGUUUCCGGUUGGGAUUUUUGAGUUGAAAUCUAUUGAAUGUUGAGGGAUUUCAUGUUUCUAAGUGAUUGGGGCUGGAACCNNNNNNNNNNNNNNNNNNNNNNNNNNNNNNNNNNNNNNNNNNNNNNNNNNNNNNNNNNNNNNNNNNNNNNNNNNNNNNNNNNNNNNNNNNNNNNNNNNNNNNNNNNNNNNNNNNNNNNNNNNNNNNNNNNNNNNNNNNNNNNNNNNNNNNNNNNNNNNNNNNNNNNNNNNNNNNNNNNNNNNNNNNNNNNNNNNNNNNNNNNNNNNNNNNNNNNNNNNNNNNNNNNNNNNNNNNNNNNNNNNNNNNNNNNNNNNNNNNNNNNNNNNNNNNNNNNNNNNNNNNNNNNNNNNNNNNNNNNNNNNNNNNNNNNNNNNNNNNNNNNNNNNNNNNNNNNNNNNNNNNNNNNNNNNNNNNNNNNNNNNNNNNNNNNNNNNNNNNNNNNNNNNNNNNNNNNNNNNNNNNNNNNNNNNNNNNNNNNNNNNNNNNNNNNNNNNNNNNNNNNNNNNNNNNNNNNNNNNNNNNNNNNNNNNNNNNNNNNNNNNNNNNNNNNNNNNNNNNNNNNNNNNNNNNNNNNNNNNNNNNNNNNNNNNNNNNNNNNNNNNNNNNNNNNNNNNNNNNNNNNNNNNNNNNNNNNNNNNNNNNNNNNNNNNNNNNNNNNNNNNNNNNNNNNNNNNNNNNNNNNNNNNNNNNNNNNNNNNNNNNNNNNNNNNNNNNNNNNNNNNNNNNNNNNNNNNNNNNNNNNNNNNNNNNNNNNNNNNNNNNNNNNNNNNNNNNNNNNNNNNNNNNNNNNNNNNNNNNNNNNNNNNNNNNNNNNNNNNNNNNNNNNNNNNNNNNNNNNNNNNNNNNNNNNNNNNNNNNNNNNNNNNNNNNNNNNNNNNNNNNNNNNNNNNNNNNNNNNNNNNNNNNNNNNNNNNNNNNNNNNNNNNNNNNNNNNNNNNNNNNNNNNNNNNNNNNNNNNNNNNNNNNNNNNNNNNNNNNNNNNNNNNNNNNNNNNNNNNNNNNNNNNNNNNNNNNNNNNNNNNNNNNNNNNNNNNNNNNNNNNNNNNNNNNNNNNNNNNNNNNNNNNNNNNNNNNNNNNNNNNNNNNNNNNNNNNNNNNNNNNNNNNNNNNNNNNNNNNNNNNNNNNNNNNNNNNNNNNNNNNNNNNNNNNNNNNNNNNNNNNNNNNNNNNNNNNNNNNNNNNNNNNNNNNNNNNNNNNNNNNNNNNNNNNNNNNNNNNNNNNNNNNNNNNNNNNNNNNNNNNNNNNNNNNNNNNNNNNNNNNNNNNNNNNNNNNNNNNNNNNNNNNNNNNNNNNNNNNNNNNNNNNNNNNNNNNNNNNNNNNNNNNNNNNNNNNNNNNNNNNNNNNNNNNNNNNNNNNNNNNNNNNNNNNNNNNNNNNNNNNNNNNNNNNNNNNNNNNNNNNNNNNNNNNNNNNNNNNNNNNNNNNNNNNNNNNNNNNNNNNNNNNNNNNNNNNNNNNNNNNNNNNNNNNNNNNNNNNNNNNNNNNNNNNNNNNNNNNNNNNNNNNNNNNNNNNNNNNNNNNNNNNNNNNNNNNNNNNNNNNNNNNNNNNNNNNNNNNNNNNNNNNNNNNNNNNNNNNNNNNNNNNNNNNNNNNNNNNNNNNNNNNNNNNNNNNNNNNNNNNNNNNNNNNNNNNNNNNNNNNNNNNNNNNNNNNNNNNNNNNNNNNNNNNNNNNNNNNNNNNNNNNNNNNNNNNNNNNNNNNNNNNNNNNNNNNNNNNNNNNNNNNNNNNNNNNNNNNNNNNNNNNNNNNNNNNNNNNNNNNNNNNNNNNNNNNNNNNNNAUGUAUAUGUAAAUAUUCUAUUUUGAGACUCGAGUUGCCUUUUUGGCCAGAUGUGUAUCAUUUAAGUUGUUUAUGUCUUUGCACGGCAUUGAGUUAUUCUGUUGAGUAGGUUUCCGCUGAGUUAAGAAAGCCAGGCCAAGGGUUCGCUUGGGGCCAGCAAUGGUCUCCGAGUGCCGGUCCCGCCCAGGGUGUAGGCUCGGGGCGUGACAGUAAGAUUGCACACACCGUUUACGAUAUAAGUUGAUUAAUAUGUGUUAUUUCAUAAAUUAAAGUAUAGCAACAUAAUAUGAAAUUUCAUAAUUGAAUUUCAACGAGAAAUUAAAUAAACAUAUCCAAAUGAUAGCUUUGUGUAUAAUAUUUUUUUCAUGUUCUUCACUAACUUUAAAGUGUAUGGAUAUAUACAGUUACGACUCCUGCGGCAAUGUCAAUGCUCUCCAAAGAAAAGAAAAAAAUUGACAUGAUGAUAAUCGUUGUCAAUUCAUCAGAUUUACAUUGUUUUGAACUCUUCACACCAGCUGUAACCUUAAAUAUAAUCUCUCUUGGUAAGUAUUUAUAAUUCUAUUUUUCACUUCUUGUUAUAAAUAUUGUGUAAAGUCAGUUGUUUCAAUUAAUACACCACAAAAAUAUAAUUAGCUAUAAAAUUUAUCGUUAGUCUAUUGUCAAGAGACAACAUCUAUCCAUUGGUAAUCUUGUUUUUAGUUAUAGUUAUAUGAUAAAUGAUUGUUUCGUAACAAAGUUGUUGUCGUAACAGAUAAAAUUCAGUAAAUAUAUGUGUGAAAUUAACUAUUUUCAUAAUGUAUGAUAUAAUUUAAUUUUAAUUUUUGACUUCUCAAUAUAAUUAUGCAGUUGUAUGUGAUAAACUCAAUAGACUCUUAGCCAAGAGCGCUUUGGAAAAUGGGGCUUAUUUUUGCUUGGAAAACCAAUUCAACAAGGAAAUUGUGAAAUACUUAUGGCAACUUGUAUUGAGAGAAAAAAUACAAAGGGAGAAAUCGAUAAAUGGUUUAGAAGCAAAUGGCCGAAAUCAUAUGAAUGUUGAUGAAAUUUAUGAUAAUAAUAUUGUAAGAGAUGAACAACAAUUUGGAGAGAAGAAUAUGAAUGUUGAUACUGAGGAACAUAACAAUAAUAUCCAUAAGGCUGAAAAUGAUGGUGUAUCAACUGGUAAAUACAAGUUGAAGAGGAAGAGAGGGAGAAAAGGUAUAAAACAGAUUAAUGAAGGAGAAAGUCGUAGAGGUGUUAUUAAUAAGACUGGUACACGUAAGAAUUGCGCAAAAUGGACUGUUGAUCUUCAUUCCAAAUUCACAAAAGCUGUGGAACAACUUGGUCAAGGAAGUAAGUUUACCUCGCUAGUAAUUAAUUUUGCCUACAAUUUAUUUCUAUAUAUAUGUAGCCAUAUAAACAAUGAGAAUUCAUACUUUUAGCUAAUGUUACUUAUUUGGGAUUACAAAAUAGUGAUUAUUGUAUUUACAUGUACCUUGACUUGAUAUAGAAAUAUUGAAGCAGUGAUUAGCUCAAAGUUACAUCCUUAUGGAACAUGUAGAAUGUUAUCCGGCGGAGAUAGUUGAAGUGAUGAAUGUGUCUGGCCUUACAAGGAAGCAAGUAUCCAGUCACUUACAGGUACAUCCUUUAAAAAAUUGAAGUGGUAAUAUAUAUCAAUCAUUUAUUUAUGUUUGUUUGGGGGGUAUUAUUUUGCAAGAAAAUAUAUUUUUAAUGAAGUUAUUUUCUGAUACUCGAUUAUUAAAAAAUAUUUAGCUUGGAAUGAUUUUUCAACUAACACAAGAUCCACUUUUCUACAAUGAUCUUAAUUUUAGUUUUUUUUUUUUUUAUCAAAAUCAUUUAUUAGAACAAAAUUUUAAUUUUACAUCAUUUCCACUAGUAAAUGUUUGGAAAUUAUUCUCAUCUUUAGUCCUCAUUUUUUUUUAUUAAAACACGCGCUAAGUAGAGAGGAUUAGCAACAAACUUUUAUUAAAUGUUUAGUUAUUUGUUGCUAAUUUCUAUUUUCUUUUGUUAUGUUUAUUCAAUGAAAUAAUAAUAUUGCCAAUUCAAAAGAUUUUUGUCGUUCCUCGAAUAGCUACAAAAAGUAUAUUAUCAGAAAUGACUUGUAUCAUGCAAUUUAAACAUACAUAAAUGACAAUGAAUUUGAGAUAAUAAUUAUAUCCAUAGUCCAACUCUCCUUUGAGUUUUUCUUUCUUUCAGAAAUGUCGUGAAAACAAUUGGAGACCUCGAAAAGAGAGAAAGAAUAUUCAUCACGGAUCCUCAAGUGAUUCUCAACAAAGAAGUAGUUGUAACACAUCAUUAGAAAGAAAAAAAAGGAGCUGCAAAAAACUUGGAAAAAUGCCUCGUCUUCAAACAAAUGUUCCAAAUCAAAUCCAAAGAGUCUUAGAGUUCCCACCAGUUAAUACCAACAACAUUUUUGCUAUUUCAACUCAGCAGCAACUCCAUCACCCACAACUUCAGGCUCAACCACACUACCUAAACCCAUCUUUGUCGGCCCAAAAUGAUGUUGGUGGUCAACUACAACAACACAGUCUGUUAUUUGGAAUGUCGGGUCCAAUUAUUGGAAGCACUAAUUAUAGGUCUUCUCUGGCGUUUAAUAGUGGGGAUCAUCAUGAUUACGGCUUGGAUAAUCAUACUCAAAAUGGUUAUAGCUUGGAUCUCAAUCCUGCCUAUGUAACAACACAUUCAGGUAACACAAUGAUAACUAAUACAAAUGUUGGAAAUGUGACACUUAAUGGAUUGGGAGCAACAAAUGCUAAUUUUCAGCAAGAUAUUGGUGAACAAAACAUGUUUGAUCCAAGCAACAUCGUUGCGAAUGAUAUUGAAGGAAGGGAUCCAAAUGAGUGGAAAUAUUGGGAUGCAUUUGCCGAUUACAAUCCUAUGGGUGAUCUCUUCCAAAAUUCUACAUCUCCAAGUGCUACCCUACCUAAUGAACAUGGCAGUAAGUUUAUGCUUUUAUUUCACUUCCCUUACUACACUUUAUUUAUUUGAAAUAUUAGUUCGAUAGAAUUAACUUUUCAGAUGGUCACUCAAUUAUCUCAUAAAGUUACUUUCUUCAUAUGCAGAUAGUAAAGACAUUGGGGGUCCAGUUUUCAAGAAUAACAAAUUUCCUGAUGAAUAAUCAACAUGAUGAUUCAGUUCUAUCAGUGACAAAAUUGUUUUCUCAAAUUGAAAUUGCUAUCUUUCAUUGUAAUUUUCUACAAACUAUUUUGUUUUGUAUGAUUUGAAUUGCUUGAACUAUUGGAAAGUGAUCGUAAAACAAGAAUCUAGAACUUUAGAGAGAAAAUAUCUAAGGAAGAAGAAGGCUCUGUUAUUUAUCAAAAAAGUGUAGUUUACAAUGAUAGAAGAACUAUUUAUACAUCACAUUAUUUGUUAGUAACUAACCUUCUGUUUAACCAACAUUCUAAAGGUUGUUAUAACUAACUAAUGGAAAUGACUAGUUUACCCCUAACUAUAACCGUGCUAACUCACUACUUAGCUUUUCAUAUCACAACACUCCCCUUCAAGCUAGGUAGUGCAAAAAUGUUUAGCAUUCCUAGCUUGGAUAUAAGAUGUUCAUGCUGCAGUCUGGAUAGUCCUUUAGUCAUUAUAUCAGCAGGCUGUUCUUUGGUAGGUAUGUAAUUGACUUUGAUUAGCCCUUGCUGCAACCUUUCUCUUAUAAAGUGACAAUCGAUCUCAAUGUGUUUGGUCCUCUCGUGAUACACUGGAUUUGCAGCAAUCUGUAUUGCUGCUUUACUAUCACAAUAUAUCAGAACUGGUAAUUGCAUUUCAACACCUACUUCUUUUAAUAAUCCAAGCAGCCAGACUAGUUCAGACACAGUAGCUGCAAGACUUCUGUAUUCAGCUUCUGCUGAACUUUUUGACACUGUGGUUUGCUUCUUAGCUUUCCAUGACACAAGAGAACUCCCUACUUUGAUCAUGUAUCCAGUUACAGACUUCCUGGUAAGUGGACAAGAUGCCCAGUCUGCAUCACAAAAUGCAGUAACCUUUUGAUCAGAGGAACUGGCUAAUAAUACUCCCUGUCCAGGUUGUCUUUUUAGAUAUUUCACCACUCUUAGUGCAGCAUCCAUAUGUGACUUCUUUGGUUGUUGCAAGAAUUGACUUAAGGUCUGAGUGCUGAAGGAUAUAUCAGGCCUGGUCAUGUUGAGGUAUAAUAAUUUCCCUAUCAACUUCUGAUACAUUGUUACAUCUACCAAGGGAUCUUUCACUUGUCCUUUGUGUAUAUGAUCAUCAUACAACUUAGAUGUUAGUUUGACAUUAAUGUCAAUGGGAGUUCCAGCAGGCCUUGCUGCUGACAAACCAACUUCAGUUAUAAGUUCCAGGGCAUAUUUCCUCUGAUGCAUAAGUAUACCAUCAGCUGACCUGAUGAAUUCAAUUCCUAAGAAAUACUUUAAUUCCCCUAGAUCCUUCAUCUUAAAUGCUUGUUGUAAUGCUUUCUUUGUCUCUUCAAUCAUCUUCAGACUGCUGCCAGUUAUUAACAUAUCAUCCACAUACACUAGUACAAUCACAAUCCCUUCCUCUGAUCUAUUAAUGAACAAAGAGUAGUCAUGUGGACUUUGUUUAAACCCGAGUUUGAUGAGAGCUUCUGUUAGCUUAUGAUUCCAUUGUCUUGGAGCCUGUUUGAGUCCGUAAAGAGACUUUGUCAGUCUACACACCUUCUCCCCUUGACUGACAAAACCCUGAGGUAACUGCAUGUAAAUUUCAUCUUCUAAAUCACCAUGUAAAAAGGCAUUAAAAACAUCCAUCUGAUGAAUGUGCCAUUGUCUAGAGGCAGCCAAAGCCACUAUGGUUCUCACAGUGACCAUCUUAACAACAGGGGAAAAAGUCUCUUGAUAGUCUAUCCCUUCUUGUUGACUGUAGCCCUUAGCAACCAAUCUUGCUUUGAACCUCUUUAUUUCACCAGUAGAUUUGUACUUUACUUUGUAUACCCACCUGCAGCCUAUAGAUUUCUUUCCUAUGGGCAAGUCAGUGAUUACCCAAGUGUUAUUGGUCUCCAAAGCAUGAAUCUCAGUCUGCAUGGCCUCUACCCACCUUUUGUCUUUAAUAGCUUCUGCAUAAGACAAAGGUUCUUGGACAGUUGAAGUAGCAACAAUAUAACAUUUAUAAGAAGGAGACAAAUGAGCAUAGCUCAUGUAGUUGCACAGUGGAUAUUGCACAUCCUUACUGAUAUUCAAUGAGCAAAAUCUUGCAUCCAUUUAGGAGUAUGUGUAGUUCUAGAGGACCUUCUGGUAGGUGCUUGGACUGCAUCAUGUGGUGAGUCACACACAGUGGUAUCAAUAACCUGAGCACUUCCAUCUUGAACCUGUGCUACAUCAGUAACCUGAUCACUCCCAUCUGAAAGUUCCUCAUGUACCUGUUCUACAUCAGGCAUAUUAGAACUUGAAACGUCUUCACUACCGUCUGUAAGAACAACUUCCUCAUCACACCUUAGAGGCAUAUGAGAGAAGUCUUCAUACAGCACACCUGAUCCUUGGACAGUGUCCUCAAACACAGUGUGAGUGUUCAAGCGAUUCUCCUUCUCCUGGGCAAAGGGAAAGACAUCUUCCCUAAAGACAACAUCCCGACUGACAAAGAAGGACCUAUUAGUUAUAUCAAAUAGUACAUACCCCUUCUGAACUUCUGAAUAUCCCAUAUGAACAGCUGAUCUUGACCUGGACAUCAGUUUGUCAUGUUCACAUAGAUUUUUAGCAAAGCAUAAGCAACCUAUUGUUCUUUAAUGAGACAGACCUGGUGAGCAUCUAUACAAUCUCUCAUAAGGAGAUUGAUAAUGGAUCACACUACUUGGUAAUCUAUUGAUUAGAUAUACUGCUGCCAGAACACAGUGCCCCCAAAAUGUCAAAGGAAUUUUAGCCUGAAACCUGAGUGCUCUUGUAACAUCAAGUAUAUGCCUAUGUUUCCUCUCAGCAACACCAUUUUGCUGAGGGGUAUAGGGGCAAGAUCUCUGAUGUAUAAUUCUCAAAUCUUUAAACAUUGUGUUGCAUACUGAGUUAAGAAAUUCAGUUCCAUUGUCAGACCUGACAAUUUUAACAGUCUUACCAAACUGAGUCUUAACAUAUUGCAAGAAAAACUUAAGAGACACAGACACAUCAGACUUAAGUUUGAGUAGAAAAAUCCAGGUCAUUCUUGAAAAAUCACCCACUAUUGUGAGAAAGUACUUGUUACCAUCAAAGGUAGGUGUGUUAUAAGGACACCAUAUGUCACGACCCGGGAAUACCCCCUAGUCGUAACCGGCGUACUCGACCUCGAAGAGGUCUAAUACAAGCCUCUUAGCAUUCAUUCAUCGCAUAGACACUAAAAAAAACCAUAAGGAAUUAAAAACUUUCUUUACAAAGAAGACAUUUAAUUAAAAAUAGCAAGCGGAAGACUUUCUAGACUUUAUACAUGAUGUCUCAAACCAUCUAAUACUUUAGAGUACAAAAUUCGGGACUAAUCCCGUACACAACUUAAACAAUACUAAAANNNNNNNNNNNNNNNNNNNNNNNNNNNNNNNNNNNNNNNNNNNNNNNNNNNNNNNNNNNNNNNNNNNNNNNNNNNNNNNNNNNNNNNNNNNNNNNNNNNNNNNNNNNNNNNNNNNNNNNNNNNNNNNNNNNNNNNNNNNNNNNNNNNNNNNNNNNNNNNNNNNNNNNNNNNNNNNNNNNNNNNNNNNNNNNNNNNNNNNNNNNNNNNNNNNNNNNNNNNNNNNNNNNNNNNNNNNNNNNNNNNNNNNNNNNNNNNNNNNNNNNNNNNNNNNNNNNNNNNNNNNNNNNNNNNNNNNNNNNNNNNNNNNNNNNNNNNNNNNNNNNNNNNNNNNNNNNNNNNNNNNNNNNNNNNNNNNNNNNNNNNNNNNNNNNNNNNNNNNNNNNNNNNNNNNNNNNNNNNNNNNNNNNNNNNNNNNNNNNNNNNNNNNNNNNNNNNNNNNNNNNNNNNNNNNNNNNNNNNNNNNNNNNNNNNNNNNNNNNNNNNNNNNNNNNNNNNNNNNNNNNNNNNNNNNNNNNNNNNNNNNNNNNNNNNNNNNNNNNNNNNNNNNNNNNNNNNNNNNNNNNNNNNNNNNNNNNNNNNNNNNNNNNNNNNNNNNNNNNNNNNNNNNNNNNNNNNNNNNNNNNNNNNNNNNNNNNNNNNNNNNNNNNNNNNNNNNNNNNNNNNNNNNNNNNNNNNNNNNNNNNNNNNNNNNNNNNNNNNNNNNNNNNNNNNNNNNNNNNNNNNNNNNNNNNNNNNNNNNNNNNNNNNNNNNNNNNNNNNNNNNNNNNNNNNNNNNNNNNNNNNNNNNNNNNNNNNNNNNNNNNNNNNNNNNNNNNNNNNNNNNNNNNNNNNNNNNNNNNNNNNNNNNNNNNNNNNNNNNNNNNNNNNNNNNNNNNNNNNNNNNNNNNNNNNNNNNNNNNNNNNNNNNNNNNNNNNNNNNNNNNNNNNNNNNNNNNNNNNNNNNNNNNNNNNNNNNNNNNNNNNNNNNNNNNNNNNNNNNNNNNNNNNNNNNNNNNNNNNNNNNNNNNNNNNNNNNNNNNNNNNNNNNNNNNNNNNNNNNNNNNNNNNNNNNNNNNNNNNNNNNNNNNNNNNNNNNNNNNNNNNNNNNNNNNNNNNNNNNNNNNNNNNNNNNNNNNNNNNNNNNNNNNNNNNNNNNNNNNNNNNNNNNNNNNNNNNNNNNNNNNNNNNNNNNNNNNNNNNNNNNNNNNNNNNNNNNNNNNNNNNNNNNNNNNNNNNNNNNNNNNNNNNNNNNNNNNNNNNNNNNNNNNNNNNNNNNNNNNNNNNNNNNNNNNNNNNNNNNNNNNNNNNNNNNNNNNNNNNUUCAAUUCCCCUAGAUCCUUCAUCUUAAAUGCUUGUUGUAAUGCUUUCUUUGUCUCUUCAAUCAUCUUCAGACUGCUGCCAGUUAUUAACAUAUCAUCCACAUACACUAGUACAAUCACAAUCCCUUCCUCUGAUCUAUUAAUGAACAAAGAGUAGUCAUGUGGACUUUGUUUAAACCCGAGUUUGAUGAGAGCUUCUGUUAGCUUAUGAUUCCAUUGUCUUGGAGCCUGUUUGAGUCCGUAAAGAGACUUUGUCAGUCUACACACCUUCUCCCCUUGACUGACAAAACCCUGAGGUAACUGCAUGUAAAUUUCAUCUUCUAAAUCACCAUGUAAAAAGGCAUUAAAAACAUCCAUCUGAUGAAUGUGCCAUUGUCUAGAGGCAGCCAAAGCCACUAUGGUUCUCACAGUGACCAUCUUAACAACAGGGGAAAAAGUCUCUUGAUAGUCUAUCCCUUCUUGUUGACUGUAGCCCUUAGCAACCAAUCUUGCUUUGAACCUCUUUAUUUCACCAGUAGAUUUGUACUUUACUUUGUAUACCCACCUGCAGCCUAUAGAUUUCUUUCCUAUGGGCAAGUCAGUGAUUACCCAAGUGUUAUUGGUCUCCAGAGCAUGUAUCUCAGUCUGCAUGGCCUCUACCCACCUUUUGUCUUUAAUAGCUUCUGCAUAAGACAAAGGUUCUUGGACAGUUGAAGUAGCAGCAAUAUAACAUUUAUAAGAAGGAGACAAGUGAGCAUAGCUCAUGUAGUUGCACAGUGGAUAUUGCACAUCCUUACUGAUAUUCAAUGAGACAAAAUCUUGCAUCCAUUUAGGAGUAUGUGUAGUUCUAGAGGACCUUCUGGUAGGUGCUUGGACUGCAUCAUGUGGUGAGUCACACACAGUGGUAUCAAUAACCUGAGCACUUCCAUCUUGAACCUGUGCUACAUCAGUAACCUGAUCACUCCCAUAUGAAAGUUCCUCAUGUACCUGUUCUACAUCAGGCAUAUUAGAACUUGAAACGUCUUCACUACCGUCUGUAAGAACAACUUCCUCAUCACACCUUAGAGGCAUAUGAGAGAAGUCUUCAUACAGCACACCUGAUCCUUGGACAGUGUCCUCAAACACAGUGUGAGUGUUCAGGCGAUUCUCCUUCUCCUGGGCAAAGGGAAAGACAUUUUCCCUAAAGACAACAUCCCGACUGACAAAGAAGGACCUGUUGGUUAUAUCAAAUAGUACAUACCCCUUCUGAACUUCUGAAUAUCCCAUAUGAACAGCUGAUCUUGACCUGGACAUCAGUUUAUCAUGUUCACAUAGAUUUUUAGCAAAGCACAAGCAACCUAUUGUUCUUAAAUGAGACAGACCUGGUGAGCAUCCAUACAAUCUCUCAUAAGGAGAUUGAUAAUCGAUCACACUACUUGGUAAUCUAUUGAUCAGAUAUACUGCUGCCAGAACACAGUGCCCCCAAAAUGUCAAAGGAAUUUUAGCCUGAAACCUGAGUGCUCUUGUAACAUCAAGUAUAUGCCUAUGUUUCCUCUCAGCAACACCAUUUUGCUGAGGGGUAUAGGGGCAAGAUCUCUGAUGUAUAAUUCUCAAAUCUUUAAACAUUGUGUUGCAUACUGAGUUAAGAAAUUCAGUUCCAUUGUCAGACCUGACCAUUUUAACAGUCUUACCAAACUGAGUCUUAACAUAUUGCAAGAACAACUUAAGAGACACAGACACAUCAGACUUAAGUUUGAGUAGAAAAAUCCAGGUCAUUCUUGAAAAAUCAUCCACUAUUGUGAGAAAGUACUUGUUACCAUCAAAGGUAGGUGUGUUAUAAGGACCCCAUACAUCAACAUAUAUCAAGUCAAAACAAGCAUUACUUUUAAUACUACUUGAAUGAAAAGGUAAUCUUGUCUGCUUAGCACAAGGACAAACUGUGCAUUUAGAAACCUUACACAUACUGUCUUUAUUCAUAUCAAACAGUCUAGCAAGUACGAUAGAAGAAACAUGUCCUAAUCUUUGAUGCCACACUUCUAUACUGGAGAGCACUCCAGGAACAACACAAACAGACUUCUUCACUUCACUUUCAGGUCCAUGUGUAAACUGGCUUAACAACAAAUACAAUCCUCCUUCCUCUUUACCAACCUCCUUCACCUUUCCAGCGUAAAGUUCCUGGAAAACACAAAAAUGAGGAAAAAAGGUGACUGAGCAACCUAGUUCCUUUGUGAUUUUACUUACAGACAACAAAUUAUGUUGAAAGUCUGGCAGAUGAAACACAUUUGUAAUGACACUGUGAGCUGACACAUCACAAGUACCCACAUGAGUCACUUUAGUAGUAUCACCAUUUGGAAGAUAAACAAUUUUAGGAGUAUCAAGUUUUGUCACAGAAUUCUUGGACAACAUUUCCAAGUUAGACACCAUAUGAUUUGUAGCACCCGUAUCUAUAAUCCACACCUUAUUAUUUGCAGAGACAAAGAAUGCUUUACCUGCAGUAUUCACUGCACUGCAAUCAGGUAUAGCUUGCUCUGGUUUUUGCUGCUGAAACAUUCUGAGAAUGUGAUCAUACUGAUCUUUUGUGAAAGUGCACCCCUAAAGUAGUUGCUUGACAUCUUUUUCAGCUUGACUGAACUGCAGAUUAGCUUUAGUAUUCUCAGCUAUAUAUUCACCACCAAAAUUAUGAGAGUGAGAACUUUCAACUUUCUUUCCCCACUCAGGAACCUGGACAUUUGUGUUGGAACCAUAAGAGAAAUGAGCCUGAGCUGCUGAAGGUUGACUGUACUGUCCAGAUUCACUUCCCUGACUCUUUCUUUUAGACUUGAAGUCAGGUGGAUAUCCUACAAUUUUGUAGCAAAACUCUUUGUUGUGUCUUUUACAUUUACAGAAAUCACAAACUAGCAGAGAGUUCUUCUUGAACCUUUGACUCACCCCUGAGCUACUACCAGCUUUGGAAUAUAAGGCAGCAGAUUCCAUAUUCAUAGCACUCAGUCCCAAACUACUACUGGAUGUAUGAACUACUGCUUUUUGACUCUCAUCUCCCACAAUCAUAGUAUAUGCAUGAUUAAUGGAUGGUAAAGGGUUCAUCAUAAGAAUUUGGCUCCUAGCUUGGUGAUAUGAUUCAUUCAAUCCCAUUAAGAAUUGAUAUAAUUUCUGCCUAUUCAUAUGUUCCACAAAACCUUUCGAUUUUUCACAAUUACAACCAGGAGAUGGUACCAACACCUCAAACUCAUCCCAUAAGGUCUUAAGUCUGGUGAAAUACACAGAUACAGAAGCAGUACCCUGUUGUAAUGAAACUAUAUCUUUGUGCAAACUGUAUGUCCUAGAUCCAUAUUGUAGUGAAACUAUAUCUUUGUGCAAACUGUAUGUCCUAGAUCCAUCCACUCUAUCGAAUCUUUCCUUCAGGUCAUUCCACACAUUUAAAGCAGUUGAAGCAAAAGCAAUACCACUCAACAAACUUUUAGAAACAGAAUUCAUUAGCCAGGAUAACACUAUAGCAUUAACUCGUUCCCAAUGUCCCCAUAGUUCCUCACCAUAUACUUCUCUCCUGCAACUCUCAUUAAUCAGCCCUAACUUAUUUCUUCCUAACAAAGCUAGCUGAAUCGAUCUACUCCACAACAUAUAAUUUUCAAUGCCAAGCAAUUGAAAAGAAAUCAGGUUGAUCCCACUGAUAUCAGUAGGACUCAAAAAUAGAGGAUGAUUAUAGUCGAUACCUUGAUUUGAAGAAGAACUACCAUUGUUAUGAGCAGAUGUACCAACAUUUUGACCAAUAUUGAGAUUCUGAGCUAGAUCCACUGCUACAUUAUCAGAAGCCAUUGAUCAAACUCUGAUUCAACACCUGACUGGAACUGCUUUGACAAAUCUCUUUUCGCGGAAGCAAAAAAUGCAAAUUUCAAAUUGAAAUCUGCCGCUGAAGGAAAUCAGCAACAAUGAAUCGAUGGAUCUACAAUGAUCCUUUGAUUCUAGAUCCAACUCGUCUUCACCAGUAGCUACUGGGAAGAAAGCUCUGAUACCAUGAUCGUAAAAGAAGAAUCUAGAACUUUAGAGAGAAAAUAUCUAAGGAAGAAGAAGGCUCUGUUAUUUAUCAAAAAAGUGUAGUUUACAAUGAUAGAAGAACUAUUUAUACAUCACAUUAUUUGUUAGUAACUAACCUUCUGUUUAACCAACAUUCUAAAGGUUGUUAUAACUAACUAAUGGAAAUGACUAGUUUACCCCUAACUAUAACCGUGCUAACUCACUACUGAGCUUUUCAUAUCACAACAGAAAGUGAAAGGAAUGCUCUCGUAAUAUUUGUAUCUUAACUUAUCGAAUGCAUUUAUGUAUCUUCCUGUAUUGCAAAAGCUAUAAUUGGGAAAAUAUUUUCAUCCUUUGAUGAGAAAUUUCUUAACCUUUACUCAUUUCUUCGUUUCCUUAUUAUGUAUUGACUGUUUAAGAUUGUAGUAUAUUAUUACAUUCUUAAAUCUUGUUUAUGAAUUUUUUUUAAUGAUUAAUGUUUGGAUUAGAUCUCUUGUUUUGCCUAUGUAUUGAAUGAUUUUUACUUUUAAUGAACUGAGUCAAAUUGUUUCUUUAAUUAUUCUUGUAUUUUAAUAUUUCUAAAAGGAGUGACUAAUUCUAGGACUUGCUCAGUUACUUUGAUUUGAGCUCGAGAGAGUGAAAAAAGAAUAAGAAGAGAGAUUGGAAAAGAUUAAUUAACAAAAGUUGUGGUACUAAUUGGGGUAUUGAUUAACAAAUCCUUACUUGAUCGCAUAUGUGUUGUUCUGUGUGAAAUUUGCCUCUGACUUAUAGUUGACUAAAUUAUAUUGCAUAUGUUUGUGUACAUUUUCUCACUUGGAAGAGUGGAUUUGGAUGUUAUUAACCAUCAUCAUCGUUUAGGUAGAGAAAGAAAAUAACUAAUAGUUGAAUGUUUGAAUACAUAAAUGAUCAACUAAUAUGAGACGGAAAGAGUAGCGUAAAUGUAAGAUUCACUUCUCACCAAGAAUCCUCCUUUAUUUCCCUUUUAGAGGUUAAUAAUUAUUAUGUAUCCCUAGAAUAAUUUAUUGAAAUAGUAGAUUUGAAAGAAAGCAAUUAUUCUCUUCUUCCUAUGCGGGACUUUUUGAACAAAACUAAUUUGACAAAAACCACAAUUUUAUUUAUUUUUAGGUGGGAUUAUAUCAAUAAGGAACUAUGCUUAUGAUAUUAAUCUAAGACCAUUAAUUGUUACUUGAACACAUGGAUUCAUCAUCUCAACAAUUGAAACAAUUAAUACUUCUGUGAACCUCUUUUUAUUUCGAGUGAUGUGUCAGAAUCUUUAGCCAACUAUUAUGCGUAAGGACGGCUUAAAAUGGACUGAUGAUCUUUGUGUCAAAUUCACAGAAGUUGUGGAACAACUUGGUGACGGAAGUAAGUUUACUCACUAAUAUAUAUAUAUAAGUAAGAAUUUACACUUAUAGCUAACGUCAAUCUGUUUGGAAUUAGGGAGUAGUAAUUAUUGUAUUUAUAUAUAUCUCAGCUUGAUAAAGGAAUACUGAAAUAUUGAUUAAAUUAAUUUUACAUUCUAAUAAAACAUGUAGGAUGUUUUCCGUCAGCUAUCCGCGAAAUGAUGAAUAUGCCAAGUCUUACCAUUAAGCAAAUUUCAAGUCGUUCCACCAGUUUAUACCAAUAACAUUUUUGGUAGUUCAACUCAGCAGCAGCUCCAUCACCCACAACUUCAGGUUCAACCCAACUAUCUCAACACAUUUUUGUCAGCCCAAAAUGAUGUUGGUAGUGGACAACAACAACGCGGCCCGUUAUUUGGAACAAUGGGUCUAGUAAGUACAUUUAUUGGGAGCACUAAUUAUAGGUCUUUGUUGGAGUUUAAUAGUGGAAAUCAUCAUGAUUACGGUUUUUAUCAUCAUACUCAAAAUGGUUAUAGCUUAGAUCUCAAUGCUGCCCAUGUAACAACAUAUUCAGGUAGCGCAAUGAUAACUAAUACAGAUGUUGGAAAUGUGACACUUAAUGGAUUGGGAGCAACAAAUGCUAAUUUUCAGCAAGAUAUUGGUGAACAAAACAUGUUUGAUCCAAGCAACAUCGUCGCGGCAUCAGAUGCAAAUGCUAUUGAAGGAAGUGAUCCAAAUGAGUGGCAAUAUUGGGAUGCAUUUGUCAAUUACAAUUCUAUGGAUGAUAUCAGCUUCCAAAAUUCUACAUCUCCAAGUGCUACCCUACCUAAUGAACAUGGCAGUAAGUUUUUGCUUCUAUCUCACUUCCCUUACUGGUUCGAUGGAGUUGACUUCUGAGACGGUCACUUAAUUAUCUCAUAAAGUCACUUUCUACAUAUGCAGUUGGUAGGGACACCGAGGGUCCAGAUUUCAACAAUAGCAAAUUUCCUGAUGAAUAAUCAACAUGGUCGAUAAUCCAGUUCUAUCUAUCAGUUAUAAAGUUGUUUUCUCAAGUUGAAAUUGCUAUCUUUAGUUUUAAUUUUGUAGAGACUAUUUUGUUUCGUAUGACUUAUAUUACUUGAACUUAUGGAAAGUGAAAAGAAUGUAUUUGAAAUACUCAUUUGAAAUUGAACUUGACAAUGUUUUAGCUCUCAUAAAUUCUGCCUUGCUGCAAUCUUGUCUAACUUAGCUUUCCGCUUAUCUUCUUUGUCUUCCGCUUCUCCAUUAAUAGAGGUGUUACAAGGUGUGUAAGAUUAAUCCUUGUGAGUAUCGCAGUCUGUAUUCACUAGUUGUUUGAAGUUAUUGGAGUUUUGAGAAAACUACAGGUCAUGGUUUUUUCCUCCCUUGAGCAAAAAGUUUUCCAUGUUAACAUCUGUGUUCUUACUUUAAGCAUUUACAUUACUUCUUGUUAUCAGUAUAGUCAAGUGGUUAGAACAAUAGAAGACAUGUCACUAAACAACAACAUAGGAAAAAACAGACUCUGCUAAGUGAUCGAUCCGCGUGUGAUAGUUGAUGAGUUGAACUUGGAUAUGUAUACAAAUUAGUAGUUGAUGAGUUCCCAAACAUCCGCGCAUAAACAAUUUCCCCUGUUGACAUACCACCGGGGCUUAGCAUAGGUUCUGUCAUAUAAGGUUGAUAUGUUGGAGACUGUAGUGAAUGAUUUCGAUGGUGAAGUUGCUGUGAUGGAAUUGAAUCAGUAGUUCCUCUUAGUCCGUGACUCCUACAUCUCGGACUAGGAGGUCUUUGUGGUAUGACUAUACCAAAAUUCGGGGCAUUAAUUUCAGAUGUUUUUGUAGCUUGACCGCGAGCAUAGAGUGGAAUCAAUGUUUUUUGUGAGACUUCAGCUUUGCAAACAGGGCAAUUUGGCUGUUGGUUAUCAAUGUUCUCUGAUGAAAUGGUCUUAAAAUGUAUCCAUUUGUAGAUGCAAGGCCAACAAUAGAGGUGACCACAUAAUGUAACAACAGGAUCAUGUACAACAUCCAGGCAAAUGUUGCACUCGAAACCUCCAGGUGAAUUUUCUUCAAGUUUAUCAAUAUCAAUUAUGUUCCAUUUUUCGUAGGAAAUAUCACGUUGAUCAAAGGUAGUUUCUGCUAUUUGGUCUUGGAAAAGCUCCUCUAAGGCCAUAUUUUACCUCCUGAUUUGAUUCUCUGUUUGCUAAUAUGCCUGUUAAACAUAUGCCAAGAUGAACAAGAUCAGAUUGAUUUCAGGAUAAGACAGAUGAAUCGCUGCAUAAAUAAUAGAGUUUUCCUAUGUGUGUACCCACUCAACAACCAUCCAACGAAAACCAUAAGCCUCUGAUGAGUCGGAGAUUUUAGACUCAUUUGAGGUUAGUAGUUCACCAAAUAGUAUCCUCGAUGUCAUUUUAUGUUCAUUUAUAAUAGAUGAAUUGUUAAAUUGCACCUAUGAAGGCUUAAGGACAAUAGAGAGCGAAAAAAAGCCAAAAAAAAAACUUGGAAAAGUAGAGGAAAUGGUGAAGGAGUCAAAAAAUGAUUUAUCAAAAUAGGAUGUUGUUAACAAGUUUUAGUUAAAACAAAGAAAACAACAUGUAAGGUUAGCUAGCUAGGUAGCUAUAAAUUAAAAAAAGUAGUUCAACUCAUCUAUUUCUAGCUCUAUUGCUCAGACUCUAUGUCAAUAGGUACGUAUCAGAUCCUCCAAAAGUAGUGCAUUUUUUGGAGAAACAAACACAAAACAACAUAGAUCUUUAUGUAACACAAAGAUUUGAUUAUUUUUUUCCAAGAAAAUUGAAGGUUGCUUUCAAGUAUGUUCAAACAGAGUUAACAAAAAAGAAAACAGAUAUAAAGAUUUAAAAUAUCAAGAAAAUACAUACCCAAAUAAUAAUUUGUAAAAGAGGUGAAAUUGGAAGCUUGAAAGAUGAAAGAAAAUGUUUGAGUUGAGCUCUAUAUAUAGUGUUUUUUGAAGACACGCCUAUACAUACAGGUUUUCUAUAUGUAUAGGAAAUUUAGCGUGUACAAAUUAAAAUAUAAUACUAAUAAAGUUAUUACAAGUAAAGGGAAACCAAUGAACUCUUUCGUACUAGUAGUUGUAGUAUUGUUCUUGUGGUUAUUUGUUCUUUGAUUUAUGUUAUCAUUAUUUUAUAUUUAUCUCUUAAAAUAUCUUAAUAUAUGUAAAUUAUUAAUUUAACUAGAAUUCAAAAAUAACUUUUAAGAAAUUAAAAUCAUAAAUUUAUAAACUUCAAAUUUUUUCUAUAAAAUUGGAUAUUGUUGAAUAUUGAGCAUCUCUAGAACUUAUUCUCAAAAAUCUAUUCAAAGUUUAUGAUAUGACGUGGUUGGAGUUGAAAACACUCAAUUUUCCAAGAUUUUGUGUGGAAAAAAAAUGUUUUCUUUUGUGGAAUAUAUAUAAGGAAAAAAAGAGGAAAUAUAUUUUGGAUUCGUGUUUCAUCAUCAUUUAUGGGUUAAUACUGUAUGUGUGAAUGCUAAUUAUUUUACUUUCUCCGUUUAAAUUUGUUUAUCUUAUUUUGAUUUGAUAUGAAAGGAAAUUAUGUCUGUUUAAUCAACCAAAAAAGUCCAAUAGCAUCUUGUAUCCCCUACAUCAACAACAAUCAACCAUCUUGUAAGAUCUGUGUAUAUUCUACUUCUUUGUACCUCUCUUGUGGCUAUUAAUUGAUUGGGUCUAGUUUUUAUCAGUAAUAUACAUUUGGCAUAGAAAAAAAAAUCCAACAAACUUAAGAAGAUUCAAGAAAAAGAGACGUGGACAAACUCAUAUAUAUGCAGAUAGGCAGACAAAAAGAAAAAAACAAUACCAAAAUAUAGACGCCCUUCUAGAAAUUACACUGUCCUUUGGUACUAUAUAGUGAAAUUUUGUUUUGUUUGAAAAUUUGAGUAUGACUAUUCUAGAGUGGUAAUUUUUACAAAGUAUUGUUAUUAUGCUAUAUAUAAUGAAUAUCAUUGUUGUUAUAUGUAUAGUAUUGUUAAAGAGAUUGAAGUAAAAUAUAACAUAAAAAAUCAAUUCUAACAAAAUUAGACGGUGAUAAUGAAAUGUGGUUAUAAACGAGUAAGUUAAUUAUAAUGAUUUUUGACCGAGAUAUGUUUGAUAGCAGAAAAUUACAGAGUAUAUACUAUAUAGUAAUGACUUUGGGGCUAUAACUUUACGUGCAUUAUUUUCCUUGCUAUGUACGUAGUUAGGAAUCUUCAACAUUAAUCUCUAGUUUCUAGAUUGACUAUGACAUUGAUCAUGUCAAUUAAUUAGAUUGAGACUCGUGAUCCAACUAAUCUAGAUUCAUGUUACAUAAGAAUUGUUUUCUAGAUUGACUACACAUUUGGGUUAAUGUAGACCACAAUUCAUAACCUGACUAAUUCAUAUUUGUGUUACAUAAGGAUAAUUAAAAAGAAAGUUUUUCUCAUAGCUAGAGAUCUCAUUCAUUUCUAAAACUCAAACAUAUACCUUUUGGGUAACGUUAUAAGUAUCACAUCCAUACCACCACACUCCUAAGCAGCAUUCAUGACUAGUGGCACAGAGCCAACUUAUGCUAAGGAGUGUUAAUUGACAUUCCUUCAAAUAGUACAUGACUAAGUAUAUCGAAUUUCUAACCAAAUUACGAGUUAUGAAAUUACAUGGUAAAUUCACUUUAUAUUUUCUAUAACAAUAAUAUCACUCCGUGUUUUACCCUAUGUUGCUUUAACUUUUCAAAAAUGUCAUCGAGCGUGUGUCUGAUCCUUCAAAAGAAAUGCAUUUUUGGAGGACUCAACACAGGUACGACAACAUUUUUAAAGAGUCCGAGCAACUUAGGUAUUACCUAUUAUCUCACAAAAUUACUAAUGUGAUAUCAUGAAAGGAAACUUGGAUGAUAUACAUUCCCUUUAGCUUGAGUCCAGAGGCCACAAAUUGGCGAGUUGGGCUGAAUUUAGACAAAUUAAAAUAGGUUGAAGUUAUUUGAGCUAAAAAGCAGGUCAAAAUCCAUAUAUCAAAUAAAAAAAGAAUCUUUUGAAACUGUUUUGUUUUCCAACAAGUGUUUGGUUCUUGUAUCGAGACUCCGAUCCUAAUGAAUUCAGAUUCACACCGUGAAGGCCCAUUAAAAGAGAAGUGCGGUUUUUCCAUUCUUAGGACCCAAGAGUGUAAAAUAAAAUUCCUUCAAUUUGCAACAUGAGAUUCAAGAAUUUGUUGGAAGAAACCUUGAAUGUUUACUUACCAUUAUUAAUUACAUAACAUGGAAAAGAAGAAGAAAAAUUAGACGCGGCCAGAAAAUUACCAUAUUCUGAAAACUACUACUAAAUAUAUUUUAGGGACAAGGGUCAAAAAUACCCCUCAACUUUGUUUUAUUGGUUGACUAAACCCUUACCGUUAAAAAGAAGUUAGUUUUACCCCUGCCGUCUACAAACUCAUCAUAUGUACCCUCCAAAUUAACGAUUUGCCCCAAAUCAAUCUCAAAUUCUCAAUUUCGACCCGAAUUACCCAUUUAAAACUCAUUUAGAAUGAAAUUCUUUUCUAAUCUGAUCCGACCCAUAUAAAACCCACCACCAUUAUAAACAAAAGUUAAUUUAAUUUUCAAUUUUCUCAAUCUUGUUGAGUCCACCAAAACUAAAAAGAAUGGAUUUCUCCCUUGUCAUUGAAUUUGUUGUAGUGUUACUCAUUCUAUAAAUAUUUUCAAAGCCAUUGUUAAAAGCUUCUAAGGGUACUAAUUUUUGAAUUGGAGCCUGAAACUUGAAGAACCAACCAUGGAAACUUCAUAGCCAUUAAUGGAGCUUGGAGCUUGAGUUUGAAUUUCGGAUUUUACAAGCGAGUUCCAACUUCGAAAAAUCAAUAAUUUCAACUUCUUCCCCAAAAUACCCAAAUCGAAAACAUCCCACCCAUUUCUUCACAACUGAAAUCACAGAUCUGAAUUUGUGUAAUAAAUUAGAUAAUUCCCACCCAAAAUUGCAGCAGCAUGAACCUUUUAGUUUCUUUCUUCUUGUUGUUUUCUGGCUCCUAACAUUGCUUCUUAAAAGCUCAUUAAUGGCUGGAAAUUUAUUUGUUCAUUAGGAAUUGAAAUGGGUUUUGGUGAAUUCAUUACUUUUUUUUUUUAUACAUUUGGUAUGUAAGAUCAGAUUAAAUGGGUUAUGGGUCGGAUUUAAUUGAUAAUUUGUUUUUAAAGGGGUAAUUCGGGUCGAAAUUGAGAAUUUGAGAUUGAUUUGGGGGAAAUCGUUAAUUUGGAGGGUACAUAUGAUGAGUUUGUAGACGGCAGGGGUAAAACUAACUUCUUUUUAACGGUAAGGAUUUAGUCAACCAAUAAAACAAAGUUGAGGGGUAUUUUUGACCCUUUUCCCUAUAUUUUAACAUAAAGUAUCUAUAAUAUUCAUGACUUGUAAAUAAGUUUUGAAAUCAACAAGUUAAAAACUAUAAAACCUUGCCUCUUUGCCUUCAAAACUCUUGUCUAGUUCCAAAUCCAUGUCAAACAUAGUUCGUCCUUGUGUAAUAUUCGCGAUUGUUUUAGCCAUUAUUCUAGUACUACUAUUUUUGUUCAUAAAGUUCAUAUGUGCGCCUUUUCAAGAAAGAGCAGCUCGUUAUGUAGCAGCAUCAAGAGCUUGUGAAGAAAGAGCUCGUGAAAUAUUAGCAGAAAGAGCUUAUUUUUAUGCAGAAGCUCGUUUUUAUGCAGAAGCUUAUUACUGGGCAACAAAAGCAGUGACUCCGCCAGGAACCAACAGUGAGUGUUGUAUCUGUUUAGGAGAAUUCGAAAAACAAGACAAUGGUGAUGCUGAUGAUGAUACGAUAACUCUUCCUACUUGCUAUCAUAGGUUUCACGCGACUUGUAUUAUGUCAUGGUUGUUACUAGCAAAGAAAAACACAUGCCCCUUCUGUCGUACUUGUAUUAGUACCACUUUCAUCAGAUGCAUAUACUGGAACUUUCGACAUCUAAUCAAGCCAUCGUCACAGCUUACAGUUACUUGAAUUUCAUUGUAUCGUUACUUUAUUAUACUUCACUAUUUAAGAGUUUAAAUUUUCACUCAUGUCCCUAAAUUCAAGAGUACAGGAACUAAGGCACUAUCUAGACCUAAUAAGGUUGCAUAGGAAUAAAGUUCAAAUCUUUAUUGAAGCACUUCCUCUAUUUACUAAUCUUGCAUAAUCGCGGUGAAUACAGAGCAAAGAAUACCAACUUGGAGUCUUAGUUUCAUAAACUUUGCAAAAUAUCUUCAAAUCCACCCACCCUAAACUGUUUGGGAUUCAAUAACAAGUCUCUCCAGAUUGCUUUAAACUCAGGUACACAUGAACCAAAUCUUGCAAAAGCCUGAUUAAGUUCCUCCCUAUCUUCAAACACAACGAAAAUCUCUCCCUCAAAAUUCAACCUCCAUUCUUUUCAAUGCGUAUAUCAUAGUACUCUAUAAUGAUCAGCUAAUAAACGAAGAAACAUGCAUAAAGCUAUAGUCAAAACCAAUGGUUCUUCCUCUAAUAAGCAACCCCAAUAUGCUAUCCAAACACAAGCAUAAACUUCCCUCCUUAAAAGCGCGACGAACAUUUCAUCAAAUCCUAUAGCCAAUACAUUCAUCAUCUCUUUAGUAGCUGAAUUUUUGCAUACAAUUCAUCAACAAUCUUAACAAGCAUACACGUAAAAUAACUACAACCAUCAGUGAUAGAUAUUGACUAUGAACUUUUGCCAAAUGGGGUUUGGUUAGAAUCCCAGAAAUUAUACCUUUAUUCAAGUUCGAGUAUUCUUCUUGCGUGUAUGCAGACGUUACCCCUUUGUUUUAGAGUGGUAAGUUUUACAUAGUGUGGUUAUAAGAGUUAGUUAAUUAAAAUGAUUUUUGAACGAGAUAUGUUUGAUAGUAGAAAAUUACAAAGUGUAUACUAUAUAGUAAUGACUUUGGGGCUAUAAUUUUACGUGCAGUAUUUUCCUUGCUACGUAAGUAGUUAAGAAUCUUCAACAUUAAUCUGGUUUCUAGAUUGAUCAUGUCAAUUAAUUAGAUUGAGACUCGUGAUCCAACUAAUCCAGAUUUGCGAUACAUAAGGACUAUUUUCUUGAUUGACUACACAUUUGGGUUAAUGUAGACCACAAUUCAUGACCUGACUAAUUCAGUUUCAUGUUACAUAAGGAUCAUUAAGAAGAAAGUUUUUCUCAUAGAUAGAAAUCCCAUUUAUUUCUAAAACUCAAACAUAUACCUUUUGGGUAACGAUAAAAGUAUCACAUCCAUACCACCACACUCCUAAGCGGUAUUCAUGACUAGUGGCGCAGAGCCACCUUACGCUAAGGGGUGUUAAUUGACUUUCCUUCAAAUAUUACAUGACUAGGUAUAUCGAAUUUCUAACAUUACAUGGUAAAUUCACUUUAUAUUUUCUAUAACAAUGAUAUCACUCCGUGUUUUACCCUAUUUGCUUAACUUUUCAAAAAAUGUCAUCGAGCGUGUGUCUGAUCCUUCAAAAAAAAUGCAUUUUUGGAGGAUUCAACACAGGUACAACAAUAUUUUUAAAGAGUUCGAGCAACUUAGGUAUUACCUAUUAUCUCACAAAACUACUAAUGUGAUAUCAUGAAAGGAAACUUGGAUGGUAUACAUUCCCUUUAACUUGAGUUGAGAGGCGACAAAUUGGCGAGUUGGGCUGAAUUUAGACAAAUUGAAGUUACUUGAGCUAAAAAGCCGGUCAAAAUCCAUAUAUAAAAUAAAUAAAAAAGAAACUUCUUGAAAACGCUUUGUUUUCCAACAAGUGUUUGGUUCCCAUAUCAAAACUCAUUCUAAUCCUGAUGAAUUCAAAUUCACAUUGUGAAGGCCCAUUAAAAGAGAAGUGCGGUUUUUCCAUUCUUAGGACCCAAGAGUGUAAAAUAAAACUCCUUCAAUUUGCAACAUGAGAUUCAGGAAUUUGUUGGAAGAAUACUUGAAUGUUUACUUACCAUAAUUAAUUACAUGACAUGGAAAAGAAAAGAAUUAGACGGGGCCAAAAAAUUACCAUAUUCUGAAAACUAAUACUAAAUAUAUUUUAACAUAAAGUAUCUAUAAUAUUCAUGACUCGUACAUAAGUUUUGAAAUCAACAAGUUAAAACUAUAAACCCUUCCUCUCGUCUUCAAAGCCCUUGGCUAGUUCCAAAUCCAUGUCAAACAUAGUUCUUCCUUGUGUAAUAUUCGCGAUUGUUUUAGCCAUUAUUCUAGUACUAGUAUUUUUGUUCAUAAAGUUCACAUGUGCACGUUUUCAAGAAAGAGAAGCUCGUUAUGUAGCAGCAUCAAGAGCUCGUGAAGACAGAGCUUGUGAAAUAUUAGCAGCUCGUUUUUAUGCAGAAGCUCGUUACUGGGCAACAAGAGCAGUGACUCCGCCAGGAACAAACAGUGAGUGUUGCAUCUGUUUAGGAGAAUUCGAAAAACAAGACAAUGGUGAUGCUGAUGAUGAUACGAUAACUCUUCCUACUUGCUAUCAUAGGUUUCACACGACUUGUAUUAUGUCAUGGUUAUUACUAGCAAAGAAAAACGCAUGCCCCUUCUGUCGUACUUGUAUCAGUACCACUUUCAUCAGAUGCAUAUACUGGCACUUUCGACAUCUAAUCAAGCCAUCGUCACAGCUUACAGUUACUUAAAUUUGAUUGUAUCGUUACUUUAUUGUACUUCACUAUUUAAGAGUUUCUAUUUUCAAUCAUGUCCCUAAAUUCAAGAGUACAGGAACUAUGGCACUAUCUAAACCUAAUAAGGUUGCAUAGGAAUAAAGUUCAAAUCUUUGUUGAAGCACUUACUUCUACUUACUAAUCUUGCAUAAUCGCGGUGAAUCCAGAACCCAUAGAAAGAGAAGUUAUACUGCAUAUUGAAGCUCAAGUGGUUGAACACAGAUGUUAUAGAAUUCACCAUCAAAGAAAAGCCAAUCCUAAAACAACGCAAGCUUUAAAUUUGCUUCGAUAUAACUCUUCUUGCAGGACGUUAAUAGCCAACCAGUCACAACUCAUCUUGAUAAGAUAUCUGAUUUCACCAGAUGGACGAACAGAACAACAUAUAAACCUAACAAUGUCAGUCAAAACUGUUUCUUUUUUUGACAAAGGUAACAGAGUCAAAACUGUUUCUCUUUCAGGUACUCUAAGAAACUUCUUCGCGAACCAAUCUUGGUACCUCAUUUGGCUACCGAACUUCACACGUGUAAGCAAAAACCUCAAUUGGGUUUCCAUUUCAGUAGCUAUACAGAGGUUUCAUAAACUUUGCAAAAUAUCUUCAAAUCCAUCCACCCUAAACUGUUUGGGAUUCAAUAAGAAGUCUCUCCAGAUUGCUUUAAACUCAGGUACACAUGAACCAAAUCUUGCAAAAGCCUGAUUAAGUUGCUCCCUAUCUUCAAACACAACGAGAAUCACUCCCUCGAAAUUCAACAUCCAUUCUUUUCAAUGCAUAUAUCAUAGGAUUACUUGGUACUCUAUAAUGAUCAGCUAAUAAAUGAAGAAACACGUAUAAAGCUUUAGUCAAAACCAAUGGUUCUUCCUCUAAUAAGCAAUCCCAAUAUGCUCUCCAAACACAAGCAUAAAUUUCCCUCACAAGAAUCCCCAUUUAAACUUCGCCUUAAAAGCACGACGAGCAAUUCAUCAAAUCCUAUAGUCAAUACAUUCACAAUCUCUUUAGUAACCCAAAUCAGCUGAAUUUUCACUGAGUAAAGUAAUUGUGCAUACAAUUCCUCAACAAUCUUAACAAGCAUACACGUAAAAUAACUACAACCAUCUUGCCGAGGGCCUGUGCACCCCCGGGAUUAGUCGGGGCUCAAAGAGACUCGGACACCCGGUGCAAAUCAAAAAAAAAAAAAAAAAAAAUAACUACAACCAUCAGUGAUAGAUGUUUAAUAUGAACUUUUUGCCAAAUGGGGUUUGGUUAGAAUCCCAGAAAUUAUAGCUCCAUUCAACUUCGAGUAUUCCUCCUCUUGUGUGUAUGCAGACCUUACCCCUACCUUGUGAUGGUAGGGAGGCUGUUUACAAUAGACGUUCGGCUCAAGAAAACCUGCAUAUAUAUCAUCAUGGUAAACUAGUAAUCCUUGUAGUAAUUAAUUCACUUGCUUUCUACUUAGUAGAGAAUGUGUGACCUCCCGUUUCGUGGUUUCUCAUUUUUCAGAACUAAUGAACUAGGUAUGCUAUUGACUUAUCCAAAUGUGAACUGAAAGCAACAAGCCAUAAAGAGAUAAAUGAUUCUUGGCAAUACUGAAAAACAUGUAAGGUCACUAGAAAGCAAAACAAGUUUGAAAUGAAAACAAUACUUCAAUGAUAUUAUUGCUUUAGCAGGACAAAAAUGAAUAUCGGACAACUUAAAAUUUAGAAAGAUCUCAGCACCUAUAGUACCAAAAGUAGACAAAAACUGUUAAGGAGCCAGAGUUUUCUGGAGUGGUUCAUACAGAUCGGGUACCUGAUCCUUGUACGGCAGCACGAAAGUUUCUAUGAACUUUUUCUCUUUUAAGCUCACAACAGUAUAAAGAGCCACCUUUCUCCUCUCAAGCUUCUUUUCGUCCAAAAUUUUCAAGACUUGCAUCCGAGGUACGACCCUUUUUUCCAUACUAUAUAUCAAAAUUGAAGGAUGAGAAGCUAAGUAAGCAGAUUCAAAACCAAGCUCCUUCAUAAAAAGACUCAAUCCUUUCUGAAUUUUAACCUCUGACAGAGCAAUACAAUAAGGUAACUUCCUAAACAUCGUAAGUAUAUCAUCAUCCGACCAUCCAAAACUCUUAAAAAUCUCAAGCUUUUUUUCACACCUCGCCUUCUUUUGCGAGGCUAAUGUAUGAAAUCCAUAAGGAAACAUAGACGAAUCAGGCGAAAGUCGAAAAUCCUUCUCUACCCUAUGCAACAAAUCCUUAACCCACUCAGGCUUCUGUGUAAUAUACCUCGGAUUUCUAAGCACAAGUUUUUGUAUUGAAUCAUCAGAAACACCAUAAUUUUUCAACAAUAACAAAUUAUUUUCCAUUACAUUACGACCACCAAAUGAAAGCAACCAAGAUGUUCUUUUUAUAGCUUUAACAACAUUUUCAUCACUACCCAAUGUUCUCCUUAGACAAUUAAUUUUAGGUUUCAAAUGAGUAACUAAACCCCUUUCAACAAUCGUUGAAUCUUUAGCAAUCACAUUCACAAGAUCCGAACCCGACAACCCGAUAUCCAUCAAGCAUUGAAAUUUGGGUUUUAGGGUUUUGGAAACAUCGUAAAAUAGAAACUUGGGUGAUGUUGAAACCAGUUUUUUCAUCUGGAUCUUGUCGAAACCAGUUUGUUUCAAGAAAUUGAGUACUAAAUCUGGAUUUUUCUUUAAAGAUUUCCAUGAAUUUACCUUGGUAGAUGCUAAUGAUGCUUCUUCUUUGGAGAAUCCGAGUGAAUUAAUCAGGUAUUUCACGAAAAAAUUGGUCCGGGCUGAGGUUGAGUAGAGAUACUGAGAACUGAAACAGUGAAAUCUUGAUAGAGCUUCAGAUUUGCCUCUGAAUCUGACGAGCAUUUCGUUUAGCUGUUUCUAUCAACUUUGCAGAGAAGAGAAGAGAAAUGUUUGGUUCACUGUGUAAGGGUCAACUAUAGUCUAAUUAUUUUAUGGAAAAAAAUAAGUCUAUUAUUUGAAAUAAAUUAAACUUCGGUCAAAAAUCAAGCGCGUGAGUUUUUUAUUCGAACUAUCACUAAAUAUAUCUGAAUGCUGUUGAUUUUUUGAUAAGAAAAUGAACAUUGGUAGUUGAAAUAUGUUUGGUAAUACAAACUCUCUUUGAGCUCAAAUUCUAUGAAUUCAUUAGUGACGAUCAUCAUUUUCGGAAGGCGAACACCGCCUUUUCGGAAUUUAUGUUUCAAAUUCGAUAUUAUCUUAAUUUUGAAAAGUGUAUUAAUUCAUAAUUUUUUCAAAAUAUGUGUAACCAAGUUUGUUUGAGCACAAAUUUCUUGGGUCCGUUGAAGACAACCCCUUAAAUGAUGCUCAUUAUUUUCAAGAAAUGUACAAUGCUUUUGUGGAGCUUGUGUCACUAACAAGAAUCAAGGAUAAUAUUAUUAUCACUUUUUGGUAGGUAUUAAUGUUUGUAAAUUUUUUAAAAUAUGUGUGAUCGACUCUAUUUGAACUUGAAUGUUAUGAUACAUUGAUGGCAACCUUUUAAACGCUAGUUGUAUCCGAAAGAGGAACGUUGCUGUUUUUGGAGUUGGUACAAUAUUUGAUUAGAUGCAAGACAUUGUAAUUUGUAUACAUUAACCAUGAACAUAAAUGACACAUAAAACUAACAUAUGUACCUUGUUAUCCUAUCACAGUGUAUACAAUAGUCAUCAACUGUCCAAAUUUAAAUCACAAAUCAAACAAGCAUACGUACCUACUUAUCAUAUUACAAACGUAAAACUCAACUAACUACCUAGGAAGACGAAACAAUCUUGAGCUGAUUAGCUAAGCAGUAGCACCGCGCACCAUCAGACAAGAAAAUUUUCAUCUCACAAGCUUGCUUGGUUAUGUUUCUAUCGUCCUCUGCCUGAAAAAGAAGUGGGAAUCAUACACACAUAUAUAUAGGAGAAGAACUGAUAUAUGUCAGCGUUAACAUUAUGCGCGUAAAAAAUGGAUGCAUUGGCGCAACUCUCAAAAGUAGAAUUGCAGAUUAGACAACAAAACUUGCUAACUACCGAGAGUUUCUGUCAUGGGCUUCCAUCAUUCUGGUUUUUGAGAAAAGUAUAAUCUCAUCCUGAUGAUCAGCACAAAGGGAAAAUAUUGAUCUGACCAAGACAUAAGAGUACAUGCCAGAUGAAAUAACGGUGGCUCCACACGGGGGGUUGUCGAAGGUUCUUAUGGGUGCAUUAACUACAAUCCAAAUAAUGCAUGAGAGUUGGAUGAGAGAUAUUACAGACCUGAGGACGUAAGUCGCAAAUAAAAGUCAGCAGUUUUGAUAGAUCAUAUGCUUCACAGUCUCUCUACGCACCCGAGUACGGGUGACCAUAGGGCUCUUGUUAUGAGGAAAACCAUCCAUGUUGUGAUCUUUGCUAACCACAGUAACUGUUUUCCUACCAGCUUCAUCCGCUUUUCCAGUCGCUCCUUUUAGCACAUCAGCAGAUCUCUUUUUGUCCAUCUCUUCUUGAAUAGGAACUGGUCCUAGAGUACAGGUAAAAAGAAGAAAAAAACGCCUUGAAUUGAGAUCGAAGAGCUGCAAUUCGAUUUACGUGGACAAAAUAGUCCCACACGGACAAACACAAAAAUACAUAUUUUGCGUGCUGCUCGCAGCAAGCAUUGUAUUUCAUACCAAUCAUCUCAAAUCGCAACUUGUCAAAACAUAUACCUAUAAACCUAAUCAAAUAUAUAUCUAUAUUUUAAAUCCUUGCUUGUACUCUUCUCUUUGAGAUUAGCUUUAGUUAUUAAUAAAAACUAGCCUGGGCACCCUACCUAUCAGAGUCAGAAAAAAAACAUCAUCUUGAAUCCUAUUUAUCUCCAAUCUUAACAAAGGAAAGCCAUUGAUCUUUCGUCACAUUGUUCUCAACUCCCCUCACCUCUUGGGCGAGACGAGCUACCUUAAGAUAUGAGCCUCUUUUCCUUCUACCCAGCUCCCCGAAAACAACAUUCGAAUAGCACAUUUUAAUGAUAUAGCUCGCGUUCCUUCUAAACCAAAAUUAUUUCAAGUACGACAAGUCCAUUAUGCACUUGAAGUGAGCUUGAGUUUGUCUGAUCAUCCAUAGUAUUGGCCUCGCGAGUAGGGACUUUCUUAUUGUAUCAAUCUUCAUACUAGCUCGCCAUACGAACAUGCCAUUCAUAAAAGUAUUACCUAUAGAGUAAGUAGCUAAAGCAAGCAAUCGUAGGUACGCUAAGUUUAUAUAUUAUCUUAUAUACGAUACGCAGAUAUGGGAAACAUA
rnacentral:lncRNA from 1 species